GAGACGAAUCUAUUAAGCCUAAUUAAUCCAUCAUUAGCAAAUAUUUACUGUAGCAACACAUUAUCAAAUCAUGGGCUAAUUAGGCUUAAUAGAUUUAUCUCGCCGUUUAGCCUCCACUUAUGUAAUGGGUUUUGUAAAUAGUCUACGUUUAAUACUCCUAAUUAGUAUCUAAAUAUUUGAUGUGACGGGUGCUUAAAAAUAAAUUAGAGUUACCAAACCAGACAUAAAUCUAUGCAUGCCAAAUCAUUUGCAUCAGCGAGCGAGCGGGAGGGCGGCCUGUUGUUUUUCUGGCCCACCAGGGAGCGGAAGAAGGCCGGUCUGCUGUUUUCCAGCAUAUCGCGUGUUUAGCUAGUGUUGCUCACGGGCCUGCUGCUUUUCUAGCCCAUCAAUCGUAGCUAGCGUUGGUUGCACGUAGAAGCCCUCAAAUCUAAGGCGUAAAGAUGUAGCAUCGUACGACAGACUCACGAUAUUAACAACCAUCCAAAUAACUAGUUAAAAAUAUAAUUAUGCAGUAUUUUGACAUUCCAGUGCUGUGCAGUUCCAGUAAUUGCAAUAUGACUGAUUGCAUUUGCAAUUGCUAAAGCAAAACUCGAUGAAGAUAUGAAAAAAUAAAAUCCAUUGACUUGGUCAAAUAAAAUAGUAGUAAGAUAUGGAAAAAAAUUUCGGCAGUAAACCCUGUUUGGUUGAAAAAACCAAUGGGCUGUGCAGUCCAAAUGGAAACGGACAGUAAAAAAACAGAGAAAUCCACGACCCUGCUAUACGGGCCUGGCCCCUCCAAAGAUGCGCUAUUCGGCUUGAAAUCCAAUCCAUCUCCCCAAAGAUAGAUAACUAAACAUCUGUAACCUAGCAUUAGCCUAAUAACUGGCUUACAAUAACCCAACAAACUAUCUCAAUAUUUUAUAUGAACUAUCUCAACACUUUUUACAUGAAAAAGUUGGUGAAUGUAAAAAAAUGUUGGUGAGUGAAAAAAAAGUUGGUGCAUGUAAAAAAUUAUUAAGCCAUAAUGUUGGUGAAUGUAAAAAAAUUAAAGAAAAAUGUUGGUAUAUAUUAAAAAUGUUGGUAACAAUUAAGUCAGUAUUUUUCAAAAUGUUGAUGAAUAUCAACAAAUAUUGAUGAAUGUUAAAAAUAUAUUGUACGUGAGCUUAACAUGGACUAUAGACAGAUUGCCUUUCGGAAGAUAUAUACAGGAGCCCCCAGAUUCCUUCCUUCUGUGGGUCGGUUUUAGCCCAAUGGGCCGCAUCAUAAAACCCUAGCCCGUGGCCUUAAACCCUCCUCUGCUUGGUAGUCUCCGUCUUCUUCUCCAUCAAGAAAGAGGCGCAUUCCCUUUAUUCCACUCUCUGCUGCUCUUCUUCCCCUCCCACAAGCCGCAAGGCCAACCGGAAGCACCAAGGCGCAAGAUGGACCCCAGCGGCGCGAUGGAGGAGCGGGUCGUGACGGAACGGAUCCGCCGGAAGCUGGAGGAGGUCAACGCCGCCGCGCAGCAGCAACUCGCCGGCGUCCAGGACCAUGUCAACUUCACCAUGCAGGUAAGGAGUUCGGGGCCGGGCCGGUUCUUUGGAACCGCCGAGGGUUGUAGCUUUGAGAAGGGGGAGUGAGGUAGCUGCGGUAGUAGGCCUCGGAACCAUUGGCUGGAUUUUGGGGUUUGGUAGUUCACUUGUCCUGAUGGGGAAUAGUUGGGUGGAGGAGGGCGCUAAUCUUGCUCUGUGCGUGAAAUUUUGUGGGGUUUCUCUGGAUGUUUCGUUGAUUGGGUAGUGGCGCGAUUUUUUGGACCGAAUUACUGGAGAUUUGGAGGUUCCGGCUCAGAUGCGACUCUUGGAUGAUUGGGACUGCAAGACUUCUGUGGAUGUCGCUUCUUUUUGUAGGAAUUGGUUGAAGAACGAUAUUGCUAUUGUGGUCUUGUGGAGGACCAAUGCUAGUAACUUGUAAGAUAUAUCAGUAUAGUUUUUUUUUUGGCAAGCUUUCUUGUCCAGAUGGUGAAGUGUAGGGUGGAGGAGAGCGCCAAUAUUGCUGUUGUGCUUGAAAUUUUGUGGGUUUUGUAGAUGUUUCACUGAUGGAUUAGAGGUGCUGUAAUAUGAUGCUGCGGAGUAUUGGAGGUUCUGGGCUCAUAUGCAAGUCUUGGAUUUUUAUAGUUUUUCCUGAUGUAAUUCCAAGCACAUGAAUAGAUGUUAGUUGGUCAGGAAUUCAGGAUAUACUUUUGAAAUGCAAAGUUUAGAUUUUAGUUGUUGUAGCUCAAAUUUGUAGGAAUUCUAGCUUAUUAGUGUAGUACUGGGAUAUGCGGCGUUCAGUUCUGGAUGAUUGUUUUAUCUAUCUUUUGUUUGUUACAAUCUCUUGGGAGUUUGUAUAUCAUUGUGGUGUCGUAUUUUUGUCGAAUCCAUGAGGUUGUUACCAAAUAUAUUUCUGUAUACUAUUCUUGAUAUGAGAGAAAAAUGGGUUUAGACUAAUAGCAGUAAUUGUGGAUCCUCGGCAACCAUUCUGGAGAUAAGAGAAUGGGGGCUUCACUAGUAGGAAAUAUUGUUGGACUGAGUACAAUUUAUCAUGGGUUCGUAUGCUCGAUAUCAUUGUAGGAGGGGAGGGGGUAUGCCUCAGAAUUGAAACAUUAGUGCUGAUUCUCCUGUGAAUUUCUGAUUUAUUUUCAGCAAGCAUACUUCAAGUGCGCAUAUGAGUGCUUCGAUCGGCGAAGGAACCAAGAAGGGAUCAACAACUGCGUGGAGAACUGUAGUGUGCCUGUCCUGACCGCCAACAAUCUUGUUGAGAAUGAAAUGGCCAGGUUUCAGGUACUUCUAAUCUUGUGCCUAUGUCUUGUCAUUAUUUUUUCAAACGGAACAACAUCGAUCAGGCCUGUCUUGUUUAUGUUUUGAGUUAAAGUAACUUAGUUCCUUUGUGCUUGUAGUACUGAAAUGUUGACUGCUUAGUUUUUUGUUGCCGUGAAUAUAUCAGUUACAGUUUGCAGUUAUAACUGAUACUACAGAACCUUUGUUAAUUUAAGUUUCUGUCAUUUGUUUCCAUUGCUACCUUCUGAAUACUGCAUAAAUGGAUAGUCAUAUUUUCCAAGUUCUAUAUACAGGAUAGUUUCAAUGGUUUAUUUGAUAGUCACCAUCUCAAAUGCUUUAACAAACAUGGUGUGUGUGGUUGAUAAAUUCAUGGUGUAUCUGUUUCAUGCAAACAAUCAACAUAUAAAUGGCUUUAAUUAUCAUAUAGGAAAUCCUCUUCCCAGAAGAUAGUAUUGGAUUCAAAUGCCAGAGUAGUUGAUCCUAGAUUCCUAGGUCUAUUUUAUUUGAUUUUUAUCGAAAUGCUAUUAUGAUUUCAAUGUCACAAUAGGAGAGUUUUAUAAUAUUUCCCGUGCAGUGUAUUCCUAAAUCAUGCACCACCUAUUUAUUUAGUCAUAAUAGUACUGCUAGCUGUGGUCAGGAUUUUUUUUUUGAUAAAAUGUGGUCAGGAUUGUUGAAGAUAGUUUUCUCAAGUAUCUGGAAUUCUUGAAAAAAACACAAAUGUCACACAGCUUGUUACUUCUAACAGAAAACAGAAUGCUAUGGCCAUUUGUAGGUAAAGAAAAACUAUAUGGAAUAUGCAUGACUGAUUAAUGUUGCAUUAAAAUCUUUGGAGCCCUAUUUUGGUCUAUCCAUUGUAAUUUAGGUUUUAGAUUGUGCAAGCGUUUUUCUGUCCAUCGAUAAACCUUUAUUAAUCUUCUCCAGGAGCGAUUGAAUCGGUCGUUGAUGGUCUGCCAAGACAAGUUUGAAGCGGCCAAGCUCCAGAAGAUGAAAACGGACGCCACUCAGGAACUGGAAUCCUGUGUUAACAGAUCUAUCGAUGACAGCAUCAGGGUGCUUCCCCAUGUGGUGGAGCAGAUCAAGUCCUCCCUCAAAAUGAAUUAGAGGCGUCAGGCGUGGCUAUUUUUUUUCAUCGGAACCAGAUAGUAGAAAAUCGUUCAAAUUCACAGUUGCAGAUCAACUCCACUUUUUUCAGUGGAAAACGGUUAGCUAGAACUAUGCAGAGCUCAUACUCGAUGUCGGUAUAACAUAACCACUGUAUCUUGCUACUCCUAGCGUGAGGAUAUUGUCGACACUCGACACCGUCGUUCUUUUGAAUUGUACUGAGCUCACAGCUUAUGCAUCUAAAAUAGUACAAGGAUGGAAGAACAUGUUCUGCUUCCAUCAGUCCUUGCUCGUGUCUCCAUUAAUCAUUUUUUUUGGCGAUUUGCCUUGUUUCUCUUGAGUCUAAAGUACACGGGGGCACGUUUGGUGAGAUGUAUAAAUUGGAAAUUAUUCAGGCCUUGUUUGCAGCAUGAAUUUCACAAGAUCCUUUUGUGUCGGUGUUGUUUGCUGGGAGAUUGUCUCGUAGCUGACAGGAAAAAUUUCCUGUAAGAAAAUAGUGUCAGCAAAAUCUAAUUUUCGCAACUCGAUUCAAAUAAAAUAUUUUGUUACCAAACAAAUCAGCGUUCGAAAUGCAAUACAAACCCAAGUACCACCCAGGCAGGCAAACCUGACAGGCCCAAAUGGUGAAAUGCCCGCUCUGCCCCGUACCGCCGCCGCCGUCGCCCACCACUACACUCGCCUCAUCACCGCCGCCGCCUCCUCCUCCCCGGCCUCCCUCCGCGCCCUCCUUCCCAUCCACGCCCGCGCCGUCGUGCUCGGCGUAUCCACCAACCCGGCCUUCGCCACCAGCCUCCUCGCCGCCGCGGCGCCCGCCUCCCUCGCCUACGCGCGCAGGGUGUUCGACGCCGCGCCUGAGCGCGAUGCCUACAUGUGGAACACCCUCCUCCGCGCGCACGCCCACUCCCAGUCGCACGCCGUGGACGCCCUCGCCCUCUACAAGCGGAUGCGCGCUGCGGGCGUCGCGCCGGACCACUACACCUACCCGAUCGUGCUCCCGGCCUGCGCGGCUGCCCGCGCGCCGCGGCUCGGGAGGGCAGUGCACGGCGACGCGGUGCGGUUCGCGCUCGCCGGGGACGGGUUCGUGCGCAGCGCUCUCAUCGCGUUGUACUUUCAGGAGGGGGAGGUGGCAGACGCCGAGCAGGUCUUUGGUGAGGGCCAUGGCUCUUCCCGGACGGUUGUGUCGUGGACGGCCAUGGUUGCUGGAUACGCGCAAAAUUACUUCUUUGGCGAGGCAGUUGCGCUGUUCGGCAGGAUGAUUGCUGAGGGUAUGCUUCCGAAUGAGAUCACUCUGAUCAGUUUCUUGCCCUGCUUGCAGGGCCAAGAAUGGCUGGAUGCUGGGGAGAUGGUUCAUGGGUUUGUGAUCAAGUUUGGAUUUGAUGCAAACGUUCAGCUUGUUAAUGCACUCAUCGCGAUGUAUGGGAAGUGUGGGAGCAUUGCCAUGGCAGAAGCUCUGUUUGAGGGAAUGACGGUCCGCAGUCUGGUUUCCUGGAACACAAUGGUCGCGAUGUAUGAGCAGCAUGGUGAUGCAGUUGAGGCAAUCAAGUUUUUCUGCAGGAUGCUGACUGAGAAGGUGGGGUUUGAUUUUGUGACUCUUGUCAGUGUUCUGUCAGCGUGCGCACGCUCAGGAGCCCUCGACACUGGCAAGUGGGUGCAUGAGUUUGCCCGGAAUCAUGGGCUUCACACAGAUGCAAGGGUCGGUAAUGUUCUUGUCGACAUGUAUGCAAAGUGCGGUGAGAUUGCUAAUGCAAGGGAGGUCUUUGACUGUUUGCAUGUACGGGGUGUUGUGCCCUGGAGUGCCAUGAUAAACGCAUAUGCCAACCAUGGGGAGUCUGCAGAGGCUCUCAAGCUCUUCUCCCUGAUGAAAAGUGAUGGGGUGAGGCCUAAUUCAUUCACAUUUACUGCGGUACUAGUGGCUUGUCGCCACUCAGGCCUUGUGGAUGAAGGACUGAAGCAUUUCAACAGCAUCCUGACAGACUACCAGAUGUCACCAACACUUGAGCACUACGCCUGCAUGGUUGACAUGCUAGGGCGUGCUGGUAGACUUGUCGAAGCAUAUGAAAUCAUCAGGAAAAUGUCAAUACGCCCAGACAAGUGUGUGUGGGGUGCAUUCCUUGGUGGUUGUAGGCUUCAUGGCAAUCUGGAGCUAGCUGAAUUUGUUGCCAAGGACCUCUUCCAGUCAGGCUCCCAUGAUGUCACAUUCUAUGUUUUGAUGUCAAACUUGUACUUUGAAGCUGGAAUGCUGGAAGAUGCGGAAAGGAUAAGAAGGACCAUGAAGGAGAUGGAACUCAAGAAGACAGCUGGUCGUAGUGCAGUAAACCAAUAGGGAAAGAAGGGACAUCAUGAGGUAGCAAACUUGUACAAUUUGUACUUCCUAUAUUAGUUAGCUUGAUCAUUGCUGAUUAUAUGCACUAACAUGCAUUUUUGAUGGUCAAAUUGCUUCAUCUGUAGUUCCUGUAGGCUAUAUGGCACGAUAGUUAUGAAUUGAACACAUAGUCCUGUCCUUUCAUUAACCAUUUUAUCCUAGAUGUCUAAUGGCUUUCUAUCCAUCCAUAAACUAGAUCUGAUGAUAUCCUCUUCUGGGUCUUCAUAGGACUUGAUUUUGGUGUCAUUGUCAUAUCAAGCAACAAAAACAUUUGAAAUGCAUCUGGCUGACAAAUAGGAAUCCACCAUCGGGAUGUUUUUUUUUUUGAGGUCAACCAUGGGGAUGGGUUCAAUCGGUUUGUCUACUUCUAAGCUGUGCCCAACCUAACCCAUGCCAUAGGAUUCCAACUGAUCGACAAAUAGGAUUCCACCAUGGGGAUGGGUACAAUGAGUUUCUUCUAGUUCUAAGCUUCACCAACCUAGCCCAGUAGCCCACGUCGUGGGAUUGCAGGCUGAACCAGGAAAACAGCUAUGGGUCCUGUCUGGGUUGGUUCGGGCGGAGCUAGGUAUAUUCCUGGGUAUUCCCAACAUAUUUUGCAAAAGAUCAACUAGAUGUAUGUUUCUUAUAUGAUUAUUUAGCCAACACACUCAUCUAUCCAUCUUGAGUCUUGCAAAUCGCCUCUGACUCCAUCUCCUCACUUCUCCUUAUGCGUUCUCUAAAUUUUAAAGACUUGAUCAAAGGGAGAGACGUCCCCUUGACUAGAUUCCUUCCCUUGAUAAAAAAGAAAUUAUGUCCUUGACUUUCGCCUGAAGAUAGGGGCCCACCGAACCCGGAAAGCAGGUAGGGAUCUCACGCAGUCGCGGAGUCCGCUGCUCGUCUGCGUUCUCUAAAUUUUAUGGCAUAAUUUUGCAGCAUAGUUGAACCAUUUUCUCUAUAUCAGUGGUGAUUUGGUCAUGCAUGUCUUUAGUAUAAGCCAUUUGCGCAGCAAUUUAUACUCGCAUUUUUUUUUUUGGUGUUUGUAACUUUUACUGUUGGGAAUACCCAAGCCGAAAAUUCUGGCUCCCCCACUGGUUCGGCCGUUUGAACGGGACCCAACCAGUUAACAGGCCUAGCUGCUGGAAUUGGUUCAGCCCAGCAACAAGAAAACAAAAGAGAGAUGGACUAGCCCAAUAAAGGGAAUAAUUUUGGCCUAGUCAAGGAGCUUUUAUAAAUUACCAGGGUUUUCUAUAACCUAGUUUCAAACUAAGUAUUUUUUAUGGAAUUUUAAAAUACAUUUUUCUCACAAUAAACACCUGAUGCAAACUAUGCCACUUGAAUGCAACACUUUAAAAAUAUAUAACCUGUAUGGAUUAUUUUUUUAGGAAAUAUAUACUUAUUUCCCGUAAUAAAAUGUCUUCUAAUUAACUAAUGUUGGUUAUCUGAUGGAUACUGUGUGAAACGUAAUGCAAUGUUUUGCUGGAUAUUUUCCUCGUGGAAUUCUUGAUGUUGCCUGUGUUGAUUUCUAAUGUUAGGGAUGUUGUUUUUUAAUGUUGCGGGGACUAUCGGAGCACCUCAUGAGAAAUUCUCGAUUGUGGGCAUCCAGGCACUAGCAAUUCCGAUUUUCUGAACUUUUUUUGGGCAGAGGCUAUCUCAUGAACAGGGCACCACAGGCACAUUUUUGCAAGAUUGCAGAGUGCGGUCACAUCAAGUCAGCGAUUUCUAUCGACUUCAUUAUUUUGUUAUUUUUUUCUUUUUAUUUGGUUAAUUGAUCACAAGCCAAUAAAAGGUCUGCUUAUCAUGAAACAAACAGCAUGAGAAAAAUCCAUCAACCAUCUUUUAUUUAUCGAAGAUACAUAUGUCAAGGUGAUGACACACUUCGAUCGAUUUUAUUCGCCAGGGGGUGUUUUCUUUGGAACUCUUUGUUACUCACUCCAUCAGCGAUGUCCGCGAUCCACUUACACCACGACCUAGGCAAGGAAAAGAGACAAAAUGCCACAGUUCCUAUCACAUCGCAAUAUUUAGAUACUAAUUAAGAAUAUUAAACAAAGACUAUUUAAAAAACUUAUUGCACAGAUGAAGGCUAAACGGCGAGAUGAAUCUAUUAAGUCUAAUUAGUCCAUGAUUUGAUAAUGUGCUACGACAGUAACCAUUUGCUAAUGAUGCAUUAAUUAGGCUUAAUAUAUUCGUCUCGCCGUUUAAACUCUAUCUAUGUAAUUAGUUUUAUAAUUAACUUAUAUUUAGUCCUCCUAAUUAGUCUCCGAAUAUUCAAUGUAACACGGACUAAACUUUAGCUUCAGGAUCCAAACGCCCCUUAGAAGGAACAAUCAACGCAAUUUCCUACGUCUCAUCAGAAAAUAAAUGGUUCGCCAAAUUCGUACCUGUCGACGACGUUUCAGCUCGCAGAAAUGUUUGAGUUGCACGAUCUUGUCUCCACUAAGAUUUUGUCCUUCUGCUCCUUGGUACAUGUACCGACCACUAUGUGGGGAUACAUUGUCAGACACACAAGCAGUAGAGCUGCUACUUUCACGGGCAACAUCUUAGUAGCAGGAUCUAUCGGUGCUAAUCUAAUAGGUGGUGACUAACUCUGAUGCAGGAACUACAGCACAUGGACAACUAUUUAUAUAGAGGGAGAGACAGGAAGGAAUGCAUUCACCAACCUCUCUAUAUUAAUGGAAAAUUAAAUAAGUGCUCAAAUCCUUCAGUAUAGUGCAAUAUGCAUGGAUACUCCUAUAUAUUGGACGGAUACGCUUCAUUUAUAGAGAAUAUAAUAUGGAUACUCCUACGUACGAGGGCGGAUACGCUUCAUUUAUAUAGAAUAUAUCUAUGUGGAUUUCGAACGUUUAUUUACUGAGGAAUAUAGUCAUGUUUAAUUUCAUAGAAUCCUCGCUCCCCGUUUAGUUCAUUUAUUAGGAGCCAUGGAAUAAAUGAUUAGUCGAUUUAAUGGACUUUAGUUAAUAAAUGAGUUAAGACAAAAAGGGUUAGAUGGAUGCGCUCAUCUAAUAUGAGUAAUCCUGCUGAGAUUUUCAAUGUUACACGCAAAAGACGCCACGUAUAUGUAUGUAUGGCAACAACGGAUUUGAUAUGAAUGAAAUUGUCCAUAUUUUGGUAUGUCUCUACAAUUAGCGUUGCUACCUCACCAAGUCCUUUCUCUUUUAUAAGAAACACCCAAAGGCAUUUCCGAUUUAGUAGUUUUGGUAAUACGUCAAGGAGUACAAUGAUCUAGAAAAGACCCAAAAUGCAAAGGAUAUCAAAAGAUGGACUCUACUUUCAUUGAUGCUACAUGCGGCGAAACACUAUCCUUGCCCCUAGAAAGUUUACUGAUGGAAGAAAGCAGCUCGAAGAUCUGCUUCACACACUACAUGAGAACGAACUCACCAAGCAGGGCUACGAUAGCCGCAGUAGAUGCCCGCCACUGGAUUGAAGACGGAACAAAGCCAUCACUGAACGUACAUCGCCUCUGGCCGCGCCCCACCACAGCUCCACUACCGAAGAACCAGAGAGAAAGGGGACGAGCUCCAAUUAUUGAAGCCCGACAAGAGUAUGAGCUGGAUUCUUUUAUUGUCAAUCUACUGUAAUUCCUCUAUUGUAUUCCAUUAUAGACGCCCUCAACACCUCGAGUACGAAUUCUAUGAAUUAUUUCCCAUCACAGGGUUCCAGAGAAUAAUGAACAACCAUAAUAUAUGAAUACUUUUAAAACCCAUAUAAAUCCCAGUGUCUCCCACUUGACUAAAACAUUUUGAUGUCAUUGUCACAUCGGAGCAACAAAAACAUUUGAAAUGCGUUUUGCCAACAAAUAGAAAUCUUCCACGAGGAUGGGUUCGAUUCAGUUUUACUUCUAAACUACGCCCAACUAGCCAUGCCACGGUUGAUGGUCAAAUAGGAAUCCACCAUGGGGGACGCAUACAAUCAGUUUCUAGUUCUAAAUCUACACCCAACCUAAUCCAUGCCGUGGGAUUGCAGGCUGAAUCUAUAAAACAGCUAUGGGUCCUGUCUGGGUUGAUUUGGUGAUUUGAACAGGUUGAACCUAACCUGUGAACAGGACUAUCUGCUAGAAUUGGAUCAGCCCAGAAACGAGAAGAAAUAAAAAGAGGAUAGAAAAGAGAUAUGGACUACGCCAAGGAAUGGAAUAAUUUUGGCCUAGUCAAGGAGCUUUUUAACCUAAUUUCAAACUAAACAAUUCUAUUGAAUUUUAAAAUACAUUUUUAUCACAAUAAACACCUGACGAUGCAAACUAUGCCACUUGAAUCCAACAAUUAAAAAAUAUAUAACCUAUAUGGAUUAUUUGUUUAGGAAAUAUAUACUUAUUUCCUAUAGUUAAAGGUCUUGCUAAUUAACUAAAAUUGGGCCUGUGAUGGAUACUGCUGCAUUGAACAUAAUGCACUUGUGCAAUUGAAUGCACUCUGUGAGUGAAUUGUUACCAUUUUCUUGAUGUUGCGCAUGUUGGUUAUUCCUAAUGUUGGAGGAUGUUAUUUUUUUAUUGUUGCGCAAACCUACUGGAGAUCUUCAAGAGAAAUUACCAAUUCCAGGCACUAGCAAUUCCAAAUUUUAAACAUUUUUUGGGCAGACACUAUGUGUCACACCCGGUUUUAAAACAAAACCAAGUGCUACCUAUAUGUAUGCUAAGAUCUAGUUUCAUAAAUAUAGUGAUAUCAUAAGUGAAUAACAAUAACAGUAUCACAUAAAGAAAUAUAAAUAAUGACUUACGAGUCUAUCAGAGAUAUACAGCUUAAUCCUAGAAAUAGAGGCUCCAAACUUCACAAGCAAUCGACUAGGGGCUGCGUAUGCUUAGAACUCAGCAUCAUCUUCAGAAAACUUCGUACACCUUCUUCUUCUGAUCAGCAGUAAGUAAGGGUGAGUAUACUUAUGGUUGGUACUCAACAAGGCCAUAAGAAAUAACUAGAAUAACAAUUUAAGUCCAUCUUCAAGUUAUUAAUCAUGUGAGGGUUUAGGCCACUCUUGACCGUGAGCACGGCUCAUAUAUCAGUUUUACAAUCUGCAGAGGUUGUACACUUUCACCAUAAGUCGCGUAAAAGUUCAAAAGAACUUUGGAUCCAACCAUGCUAUGCAAAAGUAAGCACUUAUCACACUACCGAGGUGUGACUGCAUAGGGACGCUAUGAGGCCUUUACAAACAUUCCCUAGUAGUAGUAGUCCGCUAAGGUUUCGAUAGUUGCGUGUGCAUAACACUCCCCAAAGGUGAGUAUCUACAAAGAGAAUACCACUCAAAGGAGCGAGCUAUACCCCAUCACAAGACCCCCUCUUGCCCUUUUGGUAAGACCACCACAAACCAGGGUCUUUAAUUAAUUAGCCAAGAUCAGAGUCCGUUGAUCUUAUGGUUGUACUGUUUUUCUGGUGGCAGUUCAUGUUCCAAUUAACAUUAUCAUAGUAUUAUAAAUAAGCAUAGAAAGAAGGAUGGUUAGGGAUGCUUGCCUUUCUCCAAAGAAAAGUUACUCUUACUGUUUUUCAGCUCUUGCUCUCUUGAAACCCUUAAUCUUCAAAUCUUUCAAACAACGAUCCUUCUACUCAAAGCAAUCAUCGGCACUAAUAUACAAGCAAACAAACAAGUAAAACUAAAAAUAAUACACCAAAACAAAAGAAAAGUUUUAAAAGAACGUACUAAAGGAUAGGGCUUGAUUCUAAGAUCACGUGAACGCAAGGAACUAAGGUUGUCGAAACGAGAUGGGGUUUGCGAUGUUGGAAGGAGGACGUUAAGGAGAUCACCGGAAAGUAUUUAUAAGCCCGGUUGGAGUCCGGAUUUAUUUUCCUCUUUUUUCUAAUUUCAGGAAUUAAUUUUGGAUUUAAAAACAAUUCCUUAAAAUCCUAAAAUCGUAAUUAAAUCAUGAAAAAUACUUUGAAAGCUCCGAAAAAUUUAGGAAAAUUCCUGGAGAUGAUUUGGGACACAAGGAACCCAAAUAAAAUACUUGGGGCGCCUAGAAAGACUUGUAGAACUAUCCAAAAAUUGGAAUAACCUCUAGGAAAAUGAGAAUAAAUUUCAGAAAAAUCUGGAAAAUUCUUAGAGAAACCUAAUCAUCGUCUGAACGCACUUUUAAACUUUUUCACACUCAGAGAAUAAGAAAUGCAACUAGUGUGAAUGCAACACACAUAAACCUAUGAUUCAUUAAGUUAAUUUAGAAAAAAAAAUUAAUGCCUAAUAAAUUCACAAAGAAACCUUAAGACCUUAAACGAACUCAAACAAAUUCUAGAGGAAUUCUAAUUAAUUUUUAUUAACUUGCAAAUGAGGGUGUUACACUGGAAUAUGUCGCGCUAUAUUAUAAACAGGGCACCACAGGCAUAGUUUUGCAAGAUUUCAGCGUGCGGUCACAUCAAGCUAGCAAAUUCUCUCGACUUCAUUAUUUUGUUAUGUUUCUUUUUUUUUGCUUUUAUUUAGAUUAUUGAUCAAAAGCCAAUAAAAGGUCUUCUUAUCAGGAACCAAACAGCAUAAGAAAAAUCCACCAACCAUCUUUUAUUUUAUCGAAGACACACAUAUUUUUUGAUAGAAUCUAAGAUAUAUAUAGGUGACGACACUUUGAUCGAUUUUAUUAGCCAGAAGGUAUCUUCUUUGGAACUCCUUGUUACUUGAUGCACUCCCAUCAGCGAUGUCCGCAAUCCACUUACGCCACGGCCUAGGCAAGGAAAACAGACAAAAGGGCGAGUGUUAGAAGGAACAAUCAAUGCAAUUCCCUACUUCUCAUAGCUUAUCAUCAUUAGCACCGGCUUAAUUAACAGCAGAAAAUAAAUGUUUCACCUGUCGACGACGUCUUGGCAUGCAGAAAUCUCUGAGGCCCUUGAUCUUGUUUUCAUCGUAGUUCUUCUUCUCUCCAGCUGUAAGCAGGUCGACGAUGCAUUCCAUGUCCAUCAUUGGCACCUCUCUCGCCGCUAUGCAACAGGCGGCAUGUGGAUCCCUGGGAAACGGAUGGGGUGGUCCAUGACCAAUGAAUUUUUUACAGUCCACUAUGAUUCUGUUCUUCUGCUCCUUGGUACAUGUACCGACAACUAUGUGGGGAUACAUUGUCAGACACACAAGCAGUAGAGCUGCUACUUUCACGGGCAACAUCUUAGUAGCAGGAUCUAUCAGUGCUAAUCUAAUAGGUGGUGACUAACUCUGAUGCAGGAACUACAGCAUAUAGACUCCUAUUUGUAGAGAGGAAGGAAGAGGAAGCAAUGCAUUCACCAACCUCCUAUAUUAAAGGUUGCUCAAACCCUUCAGUAUAGUGGAAUAUGUGGAUACUUGUAUAUAUGGAGCGGAUACGCUUCAUUUAUAGAGAAUAUAAUAUGGAUACUCCUAUGUACAAGGGCGGAUACGCUUCGUUUAUAGAGAAUGUAAUAUGGAUACUCCUAUAUAUUUGGGUGGAUACGCUUCAUUUAUAUAGAAUAUACAUGUGGAUUUCGAACGUUUAUUUACCGGGGACAUAGUGGGUGUUUGGUUCCUUUAGUCCAUAGACUAAACUUUAGUCCCUACCCUGUUUGGUUCCAUAGAUUAAAGUCCAUUAAUAUAGUUGAACAAAGAUCCUUUUACCCCUCCCACCUCUCAUCUAUCUUCCCUUGUCCCUUCGCUGCUCACCUUCAUCCCUCCUCUCUCCCUCCCGUUGAGAGACUGGCUUCUCACCCGUCGAUCCAUCGAAUCCAGCAAAGGAGGCCCUUUUACCCCUCCCACCUCUCAUCUAUCUUCCCUUGUCGUCACCUUCAUUCCUCCUCUCUCCCUCCCGUUGAGAGACUGGCUUCUCACCCGUCGAUCCAUCGAAUCCAGCAAAGGAGGCCCGAUGUAGGCAGCAGGCCCUGCGAAUGGCGGCCAACUUCAGAUCGAUGGAGAGGCGUGCGCUAGGAGGCGGCAGUCAUGGCCUCCUUUGGAUCUCACUCUCGGAUGCACGGGGGCCAGCGGCGUGCGGACCGGCGGGCCGGAGCACGGCGAGCUGCGGCCGGGCAAGCGGUGGCGGAGCGAGGUCCAGUGCGGACGGGCAAGCCAUGGUGGUGGCGCCUCUCCCGAUGUGCGGCGGCAUCCUCGCGCCGCGCCAUGGUGACCUGCACGACGCUGCUCCCGACCGUAGCGGAGGAGGACCACGAGGAUGAGGAGAGGCGGCGCGGGCUCCUGACAGCCGCGGGCGACAGCGACGUGAGGCGGCGUGGGUUGUCGAUGGCACGAAGGAAGCGGACCGCCUGGGCUCGGUCCCCGGCACUGUCAAACAACAUCGGCGGGAGGGAGGCCGGCGGGGGCAGGGCGGGAGGCCAGCGGCGGGGGUGGCGGAGGGAUGCCGGCGGGGGCCGGGCGGGAGGGAGGCCGAUGGCGACAGCGGUGGGCAGGAGGGUGGCGGGCGCCGGGCGGGAGGUGGCAGGAGGGAGCCGGGUGGGAGGAUGGGCAAUAAAUAAGGGGUAGGGGUGUCCCAACACACUUUAGUCCAGUUUAGUCCACCUCAUGUGGACCUAGAGGACUAAAGCUUUUAGUCCAAACUUUAGUCCACCUAUUUGGAUGUUUAUAGGGACUAAAAAUGCAUAAAAAUAGUGGACUAAAGUUUAGUCCGUAGGAACCAAACAGGCUCGUAGUCAUGUUUAAUUCCGUGGAAUCCUUGCUCCCAGAAUAGUCCAUUUAUUAGGGUGCCAUGAAAUAAAUGAGUAGUUGAUUUAAUGGAUUUAGUUAAUAUAAAUGAGCUAAUAUCAAAAGGAUUAGCUUAGCAUGGAUAUGCCCUCAUCUAAUAUGAGUAAUCGUGCUGAGAGUUUCAAUGUUGCAUAUAUAUAAGAGGCGCCACGUAUAUGUAGGGCAGCAACGGACUUUAUACGAAUCAAAUUUUCAAUAUUUUGGUAUGUCUCUACAAUUUCUACCUAGAAAAAAUUGCCUGAACGUUGCUACCUCACCGAGUCGUCCUUUUUUAUAUAAGAAAAACCCAAAGGAAUUUGCGAUUUAUUUCUUAUAAUACAUCAAGGAGUACAAUGAUCCAGAAAAGACCCAAAAUACAAAGGAUAUCAAAAGAAGAACAUGGUCUUUGACUCUAUCGAUGCUAAACUGGACCAUCCUUGCUACCUCAUCGAUGCUACACGCGGAGAAACACCAUUCUUGCCCCUGGACCAUUAACUGAUUGAAGAAAGCAGCUCGGAGAUCUUCGUCACACACUGAGCAUGGCUACGAUAGCCGCAGUAUAUGCCCGCCACCGAAGACUGGACAAAGCCAUCACUGAAUGUACAUCGGCUGGAGCCGUGCCCCAAGGGAAGCUUGCCGCAGCUCCACCACCGAAGAACCAGAAUAGGAGCUCCAACCUGAAGCUCGACAAGAAUAGGAGCUGGAUCUAUUGCUCCUCCAUUAUUAGCAGAGAAUAUAUGAAUAAUGAACCACAAUAUAUGAAUACUUUUCAAACUAAAAAAAUUCCUGUGUCUCCCACUUGACUAAAACAUUUUAAUUUAUAAAAUGGUCGAAGUUCCGUAUGUGUAACAUAUUUAUAAAAUAAUUUCUGAUUUUAGUUAGUGAACCUGCAACUAUACUAGUACAAUUAGAAGUAAACCAAACUCUAUGUGUUCACUUCACCGUGAAUUCCAAAACAAGUAACACGUUGUGAUAAGUUUUGAUGGCUUUAUAUUAUAUAUACAAGAAAUUCUGUUAUCCACACACCAUCCUUUUCACAGCUUUAGGGGGUGUUUACUUUCACCUUGCUAAACUUUAGUUACUAAAGUUUAUGGUUGCUAAAACUUGCUAAAAGGUGGGCUGGACAACAUAUACCUCUCAUUUAUUGCUUGUCUCCCCCUCCUGCGCACCUUUAAUAAGGGUAGAUAGGUCCUUUUACAGCUCAUUAAAUGCCUUUUAGCAAGAGUAUCCAAACAGCUUUUGCUAAGUUUAGCAACUUUUAGCAACUAAAGUUUAUCAAGUGGAAGUAAACACCCCCUUAGAUAGAUGCAGCAUGUAUAAAAAUAACAAAAAGGUAUUAAUAUACGAUUCCUCAUUGAUAUUGAUUCCCUUUCCAUAGAUGCAUUAGCAAGUUUGCAAGUUUCCAUAGAGACUUAUUUCAAAAUAAAUGAAGAACCCCAUUGUUCCGAUCUCCGUGUAUUUCCACAACUAAAACAUGGGAAGGUUACCCCACAACUAUCAUUUUGAAACAAGAAUACAGCCAAGCAUUAACCUUGUCAAGUGUGAUUUUACCAUAUGUUGCGAUGUGUUAUCAACACAAAGAUGGUAUGCUCCUUGCCUUUAAAAAUAUAAGGUGGGUUAAAAAGAGAGUCGAACUUUAUAAACUUUGAUCAAUAAGUAGCUAGUCUAAUUAUUUGCAUGAUUAGUAUAUAAACGUUGUAAACGUAGAUUCACAUUUAAAAUAUCUUUUAAGAAAACUCGAUUUUGUAGCAAUUGAUUGUAUAUUGUAAGAAUAAUUUGGUGGUCAACGUAUACUUCUAAAGAUUUUUCUGAAUCCUGAUACACUUUAUAAAAUGAGUAACAAAAGCUUUCUAGCAACAAAUUAAUUACAAAUAUAUGCAACAAUAAGGUGAUGCGUCAUUAAGAAAUGACAUGACAUAAUAGCAUAUUGGUAAAAAGCUUAUACACCACUGACGUGAAGCUUGUUGGAAAGAAAUUCAUAUAUUCAAUUUGCAAUCAAGAUACUAUAUAUCUUCAAUUCUUUUCAUCAAUCCAAAUUCCUUGGUUUGACCAUGGCUACACGACAUCUUACCUAGCAACAGAACACUUUGGGCUCUUGCUGUUACCUUCUGAGUGAUCAAAAGGAGUGCCGCAUCAUAUAUCUGCAUGCACUUCAGCUCAUGCAAAUCUUUAUUUCAAAUCAGAAGUAAAGGUACACCCAUCCGGCCGUGAUGAACUAUUGAAUUUUCCUAGCUUGGUGUUUCGUCUUUCUAGGCACUUAGGCUAGGGCGGGAGGUACGCUGUUCCUUACUGUAGUGAAGGUCUCAAAUCCUGAUGUACUAUGGAGCCCAGGUGUCAACUCAUCAAAUUCGGCAUUUAGAUAGUAUGGGCAAUCUCACAUUUUAAAAAACGGAUCGAGGAGCUCAUUUGCAUCGUAUCUGAUCUUGAAGUGGGCCGGAGAAGAAAUGAUGGUUUUGAGUGAUUGGGUAUUUUCUGCAGUUCUGCACUAAACCAUUUUGGUUUUCCAAGUCAUCUGAUUAGGGAUCCGCUUGGUUGGCUGCCAAACUUUGUAACACCAAAAACGUUAUUAGGCAUGUCACUGUUUCUUACAUGACUGUUUGGUUUACUGUUGCAAACUGUGGCUUUCCAAAAAAUGGGACGUGAUUUCUCCUCACCAUCCAAUUUCAAUUGGUUUGGUUUUGCCUUUGGUUAAGCGAUGAUUCUUGUUGUGAAUAUAUCGACUUUAAGCACCAACUGGAUAGCAUUAGAGCUUAUCGCCUAGCUCUGACCUUGGUUCUGCUAAAAAGGAAUUGCGUGGUAGUGUGGAGGAAAGCAAAGAUUGAAGAUUGUUCUCAUAAGCAUCAUAGAUUCCUUAUUAGGUGACCACCAGUGCUCAUCCCAUUGUGCCAUCUUUAUAGAUGCUCCUGCAUGCACAGGAAUUGCACUACAAAUAUCACUGCUAGUUCGACAAAGAAGGUGAAGCAUGGUUAGAGAAAAUUAUUCCACUUAACUCGUUGAUUCAUAAUAAAUAAGUGCUAAUCAAGUAUCGUAUUAGAACCACGAUCAAUUAUAAGUAUGAUAUCAAUGCAACGAGGUAAAAAAAAAUGGAAUAUCGAUUUUCAGUGCAAAAGGCUACAUUUGUAGUUUUUCUGAUAAAGUUCCUUAAAUCUGAAGCCUUGUUUUUUUCUUUUCCUUUUUUUGCAAUUGAAUUGCCAAUCUUGAGCAAGAUCGGUAGCACCAACAGGAUAUAUCGACAAUGACUACCACUACCUAGCUAUGAGUUUGUGACUGCUCAAAAGCACUGUAGCUUCAUAGAUCCUUAGAUGAGUAUCAGUGCUCAUCGCAUUGGCAUGUCAUGCCAUCCUUAUUUCAAAUCAGAAGUAAAGGUAGCCCUGAGGGCUGUUGAAGUUGCCAAGUUAGGUCAGUUACUGUAACUUGUAAAUACUGCACCUAGUAAGGUAGCCAUUGUGGCCUCUCUUGGAUGCAUGGACAGGGCUCCUACCCUUGCAUUCUUCUGGGGAAGAAAAUAAAAGCUGUUGACUGUUUUCUUUUGCUGGUUAGCACUAAAACUUGUUGUACCCUAAGUACAUGUAUAUACAAUUAUACAGCACUAAAGUUGUAGAAAUUAGAAACUUACCAGUUAGACAAAGCUCUAACCACUUCACCCAUAACUCAGUCAGCAUCUAAUCAGGUCAUUGGGUUAGCACACCGAUCAGGAUAAAAAAAACAUGUCAAGUUAGUUCAGUCAAUCAAGACGAGAAUGGCCAAGCAAUGCCUGGAUGGUUAGUGUAGGUUGGUUGCACCCGCUACCUGAUAGAGAUUAUAGCUCUGGUUUGGCAUCCCGUCUGUCUCAUUGAAUGCACCUGCAUAUACACUAUGUCUAGAUACAUAGUAAAAGUUUUGCAUUUAGAAAAAUUAAAAAAAAUACUCCCUCCGCUUCAAAUUGUAGGUCGUUUUAAUUUUCUAGGUUCAUAGUUUUUAUUAAACCAUAUAUCUAGAAAAUCUAGAACGACCUAUAAUGGGAGGAAAUAGUAAUUUAGGAUGGAGGGAGUAGUAAGCAAUGUUCCUAUCAACUAUAACUAUAACGCAAGUGAAGAGACAUUUUUUUUUUGAAGUAGCAAGUGCAGAGACUUCAUUAAUCUCAAAUUAUAUGUACAUAGGUGUAAGUAUGUCUGCAUGCGCUACGUGCCGCUGUACAGUGUUUAUAAAAAGGCAGUGACUCAAAUCACCACAUCAGUGAAGAAUGAUCGCAAGCUAAUCAUUCAGCCAGAUCGGAUCUGCACAGCAGGAACUUCACCAUACAAAGAUUGUUCCAUUUCGAGAGCAGCAUGUGUAACCAACACAAGAAAAAAGUUCUCAUGAACGCACGGGACACGUAAGACAAAUGCGAAAUAACAAAACUUGAUCUGCCUUUUUAUUGGCUUUUCAUCACCUUUGUUCGGCAUGCGCCAUUCUGCAGGAAUGUUUUCCCAACUUUUUAUACAUGAUGGACCAUUCCUUGCUCUACGUCUGCUCAUGGAUCUUCUUUAUAAGAGAGUUGAGCCCACGUCCCCACUCCCCACUCCCCACCAUGCAAUGCUCCAUGAAAGUGGAGGAGCAUUCGGAGCCAUUCGAUCGCAAGCGAAAUGGCUGAUCUAUAGUCAUAUAUGGCAAGUUCAUCGCAAGUCUCUAAACCUUAACCGCAUCAGCUUGCCCGUCACUGCAACAAACAAUGUUCGCUAGCUGAGUAAAAUAUACUGGCGGUUCUGAACUUAUCUUGGUAUCAUCCAAGUCCCUGAACUCUCAAUAUGAAUUUUCAAAUCCCCAAACUUAUUUUAAUGUGUCAUUUGGGUCCAUAAACUCUCAAAGUGCAUAUUUAGGCCCCCCAAACUUGUCCUCGGGUUUCAUCUGGAUCCCUAAACUCUCAAAAUAUAUUUUUAAAUCUUAAAACUUGUCACAUGUUGCUGAUGGCAAUGCUUCCUUCUUGCUUGUUGCCUUCCCAACCACCUUAUACUAGUGAUUGCACAUGUGUUGCUUGGCGCUUGAUUGGGGAUCUUAAAAUGCACUUUGAGAGUUUAAGGACUUGUAUGACACCCUUAGACAAAUUGGUGGAUUUUUGAAAGUUUAGAGACUCGGAUGGCAUCUUGAGAUAAGUUAAUGGACCUGAAAAUGCAUUUUGAGAGUUUACAAAUCUAAAUGACACUCAUGAUAAGUUUAGAGACCGCUCGUAGUAUUUUACUUUUCGCUGGCUUAUCGGCGUGUCUUGGCCGAACAUGCAUGCCUGUAGCUGUGACAUGGCAAGACACUGGUGAAAUGCAAAAGCAUUACUCCACAAAACACUCGCAACGGUCUGUUUCCAACUGCCAUUACGCCUAUAAAUCAACAGCAGAGACCCAAGUGCUGAACUUGCACCGAGCAAAGAAGAACACGCGCAAGCAGCUUAUUAGCUUCAAAAGUGGUAGGGCAAGCUCCGGAAGAGGCGACAUGCGUGGGCUACGGCCAUGGUCGCGCAACAUUGCGGCGGUGCUGCUAGCUCUCGCGACGGUGGUGUCUGCCACUGCCGCCGGAAAGAAAGAUGAAGCGGUGGUGGCGAGGGGCAACUACAAUGUGGCGGUCGUCGACGUCUCGAGGAUUACUAUCUCAGCGGCUGCGGCGCCGUCGAGCAUGAACGUCUCAGCCAUCUGCCAGUCGACGCCGUACCCGAGCGCGUGCGAGACGGCGCUCUCGUCGCCAGGGCCGGCCAGGGACGACCCGUUCGCGGCGUCCGUGCAGUUCGCGAUGGCCCGGGCCGCGUCGGCGCGGACGCUGGCGCGAAACGUCUCGGGUGCCUCUCGGUCCACGCCCCACCGCGGCGCGCCGCCGUCGGGCGUGAUGGACUGCGCGGAGCUGCUCGACAUCAGCGUCGCCCAGCUCGGCGACGCGCUCGCCGCCGCCGCCGGCGACGCGGACGGUGCGACCACGUGGCUCAGCGCCGCGCUUACGAACCAGGGCACGUGCGCCGACAGCCUCGCCGCCGAGCCGGACCCCGCGGGGCGCGACGCCGUGCGCGCGCGUAUCUCCGCGCUCACGCAGUUCAUCGCCACGGCGCUGGCCCUGCACGCCAGCAAGCUCAAGCCAGACGCGAGCGGCGGCCCACCGCCGACGCCACCGGUGACGACGACGUUCCCGUCAUGGGUGUCCCAGCAUGACAGGAAACUCCUUCGUUCUCCCGUAGACAGCGUCGCCAUUGAUGCGGUGGUGGCGCUCGACGGCAGCGGGACGCACAGGACCAUCAACGAGGCGAUCGCGGCCGUGACGGCUGCGAAGGGCGGCGGUGGUGGCGGCGGAGGGAGGAAGGUGAUCCACGUGAAGGCCGGGCGGUACGAGGAGAGCGUGAGCAUCUCCAGCAAGCAAAAGAACGUGAUGCUGAUGGGCGACGGCAAGGGGAAGACGGUGAUCGCCGGCCACAAGAGCGCCGCCGACGGCUACACCACCUACGCCACCGCCACCGUCGGUACGUGCUAUACGUCGGCAUCUAUCUGCUCAUGCACAAAAGCUACACAUACCUACAUGCAAAAGUUGCAACAGACCACACUUCAUGUUUGGAGAGAAGAGUAAAUUCAAAUCUUCUUCUUUUAGACAAAGUAAAUUUAAAUCUUCAACCUACUUUACUUGCACAUGGCCUUGAGGCCGAGGCCCAAAAUGGUAGGGUUCUUGCAAUUAUUUGGUUUCGAUUUGGUCGUUAGAUGCCUGCACUUUUCUAGGCUUUGCUGCCAUCUCGUCUACAUGUAGCACACGAAUACCAGUAGCUACGCUGCCUACGCAUCAAUGCAUGGUUCGUGGUUGUAACAACAUGGAGCACCGUCGUCAAAUGCAGCGUCGACAGCGACGUUUCACUUGCCAUGUCGCCCACUCUUCACCCCUUUCUCCUUUGUGCUCGACAGUACACUCUCCCAUUGUCUUCCAUACAUUCUCACACCUUAAACCUUUACUUUGUGAUCUUUGCGUGUGGUACAGCUGCAAUGGGCUCGGGCUUCAUCGCCAAGGGCCUCACCAUCAUCAACAGCGCCGGGCCGGGGAAGGGCCAGGCCGUGGCGCUGCGGGUCGGCGGCGACCUCUCAGUCGUGUACCAGUGCGCCAUCCAGGCGUACCAGGACACGCUCUACGUGCACUCCAACCGCCAGUUCUACGCCGAGGACGACAUCGCCGGCACGGUGGACUUCAUCUUCGGCAACUCCGCGGUGGUCAUCCAGAACUGCGACAUCCAGGCCCGGAGGCCCAGCCCGGGGCAGAAGGACACGGUCACGGCCCAGGGCCGGACCGACCCGAACCAGAACACGGGGAUUUCAAUCCACAAGUGCAGGAUCACCGGAGCGUCGGACCUCGGCAGCACAUCGGUGUAUCUGGGCCGUCCGUGGCAGAAGUACUCGCGGACCGUCGUGAUGGAGAGCUUUCUCGAUAGUUCGAUCUCACCGGCCGGGUGGCUCGAGUGGUCGGGACAGUUCGCGCUGAGCACACUGUACUAUGGGGAGUACGGUAACACCGGGCCUGGUGCCGGGACAAGUAAUCGGGUGACGUGGACUGGAGUGCACACGUCACUGUCCAGGUCAGAUGCCACGAGGUUUACUGUGGCGAAUUUUAUCAUGGGAGACUCAUGGUUGGGUGGCACUGGAGUGGCCUAUGAUUCGGGACUGUGAGGCAGGAUGUGGUCUACCCGUAUUUGCCAUUGAUCGGGAAUGAUUAACCAUGAUAGGAUGAACCAAUUUAAAUAAAUAAAAGAUUGGAAAAAAAAAUCUGCAAGAGCCCUGCCUUGACUUGUAGGGAAGUAACACAAGUCAGGAGUGUGAGCGUGGCCCAAUUGUGCGUAUCCCGUGCGUGGUGGCAGCAGGGUUGGAGAUUGAUUUUGUGUACCGUAAAAGAGCUCAUAGCAAGCAACCGUAUCUGGAAAAAAACGAUUGGUGGAUAUUAGUACUGUCACUGCACAGAAAGCAAAGGAUUGGGGAUUCAGUGGUGUAAUGUUAAGAGGUCGUGCGACAUGAAGACAUUGAUAGCAAUAUGGGGAAGUUCCCAUCAGGCAACAUAUCUCUCUUUGUCCAAAUAGAAGGAAAAGGAGACAAUUUGAACAUUCCUAUGGAACUCCCCUUCAGACGACUCUGAUGAAACAGAACAUUCUUGUUAUUGCUCGCCAAUGGCUCUAGCAAAAUGUACGACUCGCCCUUGCAAACUAAAAUCUUUGCUUGCUUGGAGCUUAAGUGUGGUAGAACCGUCCAGUUUAAACUGACUCAAGUACGUCAGUUAGGCCUUGGGCAUCCAACACACAGCGUACUUGAAUCAAUGUAAACCCGGUAGUCCAUCGGGUGUCCUUAAUUCACCCGAAGACUCCACAUUAUGUUACAUCCAUACAUCCAAGAUCGCUUACACAUGAGCUCGUUACAGACAUUAUAGCUUUAAACAAAUAAUUUACAGUAGCGGAUUAUUACAAACCAUAAGAGAGUUGUCUUAAACAUACGAUACCAGUACCUAAGAGUUUUAAAACAAACCACUUUGUUUAUAGUCAGGGACGGUAACAUUAUAUAGGCAUAUUUAAACAAACGUGACUUAAAGAAACACGUCGUGCCCACAACGUAUUUCCCCAUCUUCGGGAGCUCCUUCCUUAAGCAUAGGCCAUCUACUGACCUUCUUCAACUGCAACAAGGGUCACACAAACCCUAAGUACUAGGUACUUAGCAAGACUAACCCGUCAACGGAAAAGACUCAAGGCUAUGCAAGGCUUUCUUUGGUUUCUUGCUAACUCAGGUUAAGCGAGCAAAUCUUACUAAGAGUAAAUCCUUAAAAUCAUCUUUUAAUUCAAGUUAGUUACUAGACUUCUUAUAUUUCAAAGUUUGGAGUCCAAGCCAAAACAAGCAUGCUAACAUCAUAAAGCAUUUAUAAACAUCAUUAGCGAGCAACUUUACGAUGAUGGUUAGAGAUCAAGCGGUAUUCAUAUCCGUCGAGCACGGCGAGUUACAGUUCAAACUUCGGCACCUCAGAAGUGCAUCAGUUUAUCGGGUCCCACAUACCGGCAUGUGAUUAGUGCGUUCAAAGCUUGACCUAAAGGGCCAUCCAUCAAAUGGGCCUUAAAUCCAUUAUCCAGAUAGGACCAAAACUUCCAACUUUGUUUCCAACAACAUUCAUCAACAUCCUUUAACAUGAAACUAAUGUCCCGCCCACCCCUUCAUUAAACAAAUUGUUUUGCACUCUAACAAAUUUUAGAUGUUGUCCUUAUGCAAGUAACGAGGAAUUACUUGACUUCUGCGGCACUAGCAGAUUAGACUUAACCUUCUACUUUUAAACAGGUGGCAAAGAUGUCCUUAAAACAAGGAAUUUGGAAUGCAUAAAAGGACUCUACUCAACUCCUAGACUUAAUGCACAAUCAUGAAAUAUAACAAUUUGGACUCAAAUUAGCAAGGUUAAAUAGGAUUAAUGCACCGGGGCUUGCCUUACUGCUCCUCGGGGUCAGCAGUCUUGACGACGAGCUCUCGAGCAGCUACAGGACCUUGCUCUACCACGAUCACGUCCUCGCCUUCUUGAGCUGGCUCAGAGGGGAUCUCCACGAACUCCACCUCUAGCGGCUCCGAAUCUACACGGAAAUGAUGUAAUGAAUGAAAAACAACAUAAAAUAAGCAUCCUCUUAAUUUUAUAAAUGCUAACUUAAUGAAAUCAGAGCUCCUUAUAUUUUUUUAGAACAAGAGUUACCCAUAUACCAAGGAAUAAUUAUAAACCAAUUAAAUAGGAUUUAUCCUAAUUUUAAAUAAAAGAAAAGCAUUUUAAAUCUAAUAAACCAUUUUCAUAAAUUCUAAAUGGUCACUUAUUUUUAUUAACUACAAAAUAGAUUUUAGUUCUUAUUUUGAAUAUUUUCCUAAAUUUUAUCUAUUUAAGGAGGUAAUUAAAGUAAAAACAUCCUAAUUUUAAAGUAGGUUUAAAUAAAGGAAAAACAAAAUAUUUUGCUAUACCAUUUAUGAUUUUUCUUGCAUCACACAUAAAAAUAUGAACCCAACAUCUUUCUUCUGGGCAACUAUUAUUUGAUCUCUAAUAUAUGUGGUGACCAUUAGAUUGGAUACCUACCCUUAUUUUAUUAUUCCAAUAUUCAAUUUCUCCAAUUCCUCACAUAGCGUUCCAUGUUGUACCUCUACUCUACUGAGUAAAAUACAGUGCUACCGCAUUAGCCUUUACCGGGAUGAUAAGGGAUCUCCAAUCAACUAGAGCUACCUUCUUAGUCUCAUAUACAAAACAGGGCCUCCGACCUUGACCGCGGCCUGGCGGGGUUGACCGGCGGCGCCCUCGCCGGCGGGGAGCUUUCCCCGCGACAAGAAGUACAUGGCUCGGCUCGGCUUGGCACGGCGCAUCCACGGGUGGAGUCAUCGACGCGGGACGGUGACCAACGAUGGCUAGCUGACGCGGCGGCGGCGCCGACGCACGGACACGUCGGCGGCGCGGCAGCUCCGGCGACCCGGCGACCAAAACCCGGACAAGGACUAGGCCUAGAGCACCUACACGAGCUCUAGCAUCUCCUUCUCUUGUUCUUAUCCCCGGCGCACAGCUCUAGCAUGCUCAUCCCCAUCGGCGGCCAUGGCCGCGGCGCGCUCUGGCUAGAGUUGGGCGUUCCGGCCACCCUAGCCCUGAGCUUCUCCAACGCGCGAGCGCACGAGCACCACGGAGCCUUGGAGAGCUCAUUCCCGUAGCUAACUUGAGUGGAGAGGGUCGGGAAGGGAGUUCUCACCGUGGGGCGUCGACGGCGGCCGGCGGAACAGGGGAGGGGUCGCGGCGGCGCUGUGGUUGAUCUCGUCUGGCGAGGAAUGGCUAGGGGUGCUCGGGAGGUUGUCACGGUGUGUUGAGUGAGAGGAAUCGACCGGCGACGGCUUAUCGAUGGUGAAACUGGCGGCGAGCUCUGGCGGCUGGAACUUGGGCGGGAAGCAGAGAGAAUGAGCAGAUGACGACAACGGCAGGCCGCAGGGUUAAACUUCAAAAAGUAACCGCCUCACCGGCGUACAGCACCAGUCUGCCUGCUUGCUGCUGUCGCACUAGCAAACUGGCGCGUGGCACGGUUAAAAUCGGCCGCAGCAGCUUAAGUGGUGACCGGCGGUGGAGCUGGCUGGCAAGCAGGUGAAGCAGCUCAAGCUGCUUGCCGUCGGGUAGAGCUCCAAAAUGCACAAAAAUUCAGCCCCUUCUUUGAUGAUUCUAGUCCAAAAUCAUACACAAAAUCUCCGAGAACCUUUAACCAAAGUUGUAGAUGUACCAUAGAGCUACAAUUUAUAGAUAGAAAUUUUUCCCAGGGAAUGCACAGUUUGGGAGAUCAAAGGCUCUGAACAUCAUGGCCAAAAACUUGAUACUUCCAAGUUCAGUUUCAGACUUCAAUGCUAUGCCUGACAGUGACCAAAACAGCAUACAGUUCAAAUUUUGAGCUCCACACACAAUAGCCAAACUCCAUUUUAUGUGAUCAACAACUAGUCCAAAGUGUGCAUCAACCUUUUCCAUCAACUUUCAGAAAAACAUUUUCCAAAGUUGCUAUACAAAUCUUUUUAAAUCUGGAUCCAAACAUAGGUACUUGACCAUAGUUGACACUUUUCAGUUCAAAUCUGACUUUUUGAAUUGGAUUUGAACUAAGUCCAUUUUAAAUUGUCACUUUGAUCCAAAAUCAUUUCUUUGACUUGAGUUCAUCAUGGUUGACUUGGUCAACUUCCAAAUUUGACCUUGUUUGACCAUGCUUUCAUGUUCUUUUGCCUUUCUCUUUUUUCUUUAUAUUUCUCCUCUUUAGUGCUUAAGUGAGGUUUAAUUCUUUGUAAACACCAUUGGUGUUACAUUAAGUUCUUAUACAAGCAAUUUUGCUUGUUUUUUGUUAUGUCCACUAGUAGCGCACAUGCAUGUCACAUUCCACAGGGUUGUGACUCACGAAGUGCAACAACACUUCAUUCUAAGGUUAAUCAGUUCGAUUUCAAACUAAAUAAGCCUAAAAAAGGGCCCCCACUCAAAAUAAGUUCCGCGGAACAAUCAUCACGUUUGCUCACCUCUGAUCGGUUUCCUCUCCUUCAAAAUCAUAAAAGAAAUUCUACAUAGAAUUACAUGAGACAAUCUACGAGACCACUCGCGUGUACUGUCUACCUAGAAAAACAGCCAAACCAUAAGCUAUGCUACUCUGUAAUGUUGGAAGGAUGUCAAUGUACUUGUAAUCAAAGACUGAAUUGGACUGGUAAUCUUGAUGAUACACAUUUCCUCAACGGAAGGUACAGCAAGUUACAACAUAAGGAUCAUGCUUUGAUUCACUUCAUUCAUUAACUAGCGGAUGUAUCUCUGUUCAAACUCCUUAUUUAUGACCAUGCACUUCGUCGGGAUCUUCAAAUCAUGACCUGGAAGGCAAACAAGGUUAAAUGACUGAUCAAUUUCUUAGCAUAUCCUGCACUUGUAUGUUAUGCAGGACUAAUCUGAAAAAAAUGACACGUGAUUCUUUUUUUUUUACCUCAAGAGGAGGAGUAGGAAAUGGAGGUUGUGUGCAGUAUCUUCCCAAAUACAGCAUCACUGUUGCGUCGUAUUUCCCCUCCUCUUCAAGUGUAAGCAGAUCAACGAUGCACUGCAUCAUCCCCUUGACAUGGUCUGCAACGUUCUCACCUCCUGGCAGCAGAUAUCAUCUUUGCCUGGGAGUAUACGGGAGGGAUUUGUUUUCAGGAUGUAGGGGUGACACACAUCCAGAAUGUAGUUCUUGUGUCUUUUUGUACAUCGACCCUUACAAUUCCAACAUCCACUCACAGGAUCAAGGGAAACUAUUGCGAACACGAGUAAGAGAAGAACGGCUGCUUUCCCAAUUAACAUCUUGGUGCUAGUUUUAGCAGGUGCUGACCCAACUGGGUUAACGAGAACAAGGACCCUAAGCCUAAUGUUAUGCAUAGAAGGGUUUAAUGCUUUUUUAUGCGUGAAUCUUUGAUUGAAUAAAGUAUGUUGGAAAAAAAAAUCUUUGAUGAUCGAAUAAUGAUUGGGGAUAGAUACCCUAUGGAGCAACCUAGAUGCAAUAUCAUUUAUGAAGAGACCCUUACCGGUAUCCAAUGCCUAAGGGGGUGUUUGGUUCCACGUUCCUAUCACAUCGAAUGUUUAGAUACUAAUUAGGAGAAUUAAACAUGAGCUAAUUAUAAAAUGAAUUGCACAGAUGGAGACUAAUUCACGAUAUGAAUAUAUCAAGCCUAAUUAGUCCGUGAUUAGCACAUAUUUACUGUAGCAUCACUGGUCAAAUCACGGACUAAUUAGGCUUAAUAGAUUCGUCUCGCGAAUUAGCCUUCAUUUAUACAAUUGGUUUUGUAAUUAAUCUAUAUUUAAUACUGCUAAUUAGUAUCUAAAUAUUCAAUAUGACAUGAACUAAACUUUAGUCCCCGAACCAAACAACCCCAAAGGGAUAUCCUAGAAGGCGUAUAGAGUAUAUGUUUCUAGCUUCACGGAAUCCUAGCUUCACACCACUCUGUAUUCAAGAGAAAUAAAUAAGGCAUCUGGUAAAUAAUUUUUUGUUGACUGCUUUUGAGGCACAAAUUCUGUCAAAUUAUGAAACAAAAGUAUGCCGAAAAAUUGGCAAACAUCUCACUAAAAGCUACUAUGAGCCUGCCAACAUCACACGAUGGGUCUGAAUAAAAUCCAUACUUUAGGAAAUAUAACAAUCCCAAUAUCCUAAGACCAAAACAGAAUAAGGAAGACAAGAAAAAACUUGAAAGUACUUCCUCCGUCCUAAAUUACUAUCCGUUUUAGGUUUUGUAGAUACGUAACUUUUGCUAUGCACCUAGAUAUAUAUUAUAUCCAGAUACGUAGCAAAAAUUAUGUAUCUAAAAAAAUCAAACGAAUAGUAAGUUGGGACGGAGGGAGCAGCUGACAACCCAUAAAGCACCGUAACCAUAGGAAUAUAAAUCAAAACUUACAUGUGAAUAAUGUACUAAAUUUUUAAAAAAAAACAUUAGCAUACCGUGCACGAACAAAGCUAAUUAGGAGGUGGGGCGUUUGUUUCCUAGGGACUCAACUUUAACCCCUAUCACAUCGGAUGUUUGAUACUAAUUAAGAGUAUCGGAUGUUUGAUACUAAUUAAGAGUAUUAAAUAUAGGUUAAUUACAAAACUAAUUGCACAGAUGGAGGCUAAUUCGCGAGAUGAAUUUAUUAAGCCUAAUUAAUCCAUCAUUAGCAAAUAGUUAUUGUAGCACCACAUUGUCAAAUCAUGGAUUAAUUAGCCUUAAUAGAUUCAUCUUGCGAAUUAGCCCAGGACUUCCGCAAUUAAUUUUAUAAUUAGCUCAUAUUUAAUUCUCCUGAUUAGCAUCCGAACAUUUAAUGUGAUAAGGGCUAAACUUCAGCAAAGUAUCAAACGCACCCUUAGUCAACUUGAGGGGGUUCGCGUACGGCGUACCGGCGACGGCAAUGCCGCCCGACAGCAGGACACGCGGUGCUCUGUCGGAGUCCUCGAGCGCGGCGGCUGUGGCGGGCAGUGCGGCUGCUGCACAAGAGGAUCUCGAUCGAGACCAGCAGCGGCAGCAAAGCGCGGGCGGCGAGGGGCACCGAGCUCAGCACACACUGCUGUGAGCCACCGCUCAUCGAUCGUCAAUCCUCCUCUCUCCCACAAACCAGCCUCUGAGACUGGAAUCGGAUUUUUUUCUCCCCUCUCCUCAUUAAAUAUUAACUAGCACACAUACCCGUGAGUUGCAACGGUCACGAAACUGCAGCAGAUUCGAUUGUGUUUUCAGGCUACGGUUGUGCUUCUCGGUUGUUUCAUCAUCUACAUUUAUGAAUGAGUACGAUCUAAAGAUUUUGCUUGAUAAAAAUGAAGAAAUAUCUUCUCAUAGCUCUUAGUAGUGAUAUUGGGACCGUUAGAUAUCUUUCCAUCGUAAAAUGUAACAUCUGAAAUUUUGCUUAUUUUUGGAUGUAUUACAUGGAGAAGGUGCUUACCGUAGCGAAGCAUACCUAAUUAACCUCUCAAAAAAGCACUUCGCCCCAAGUUGCUACAGAAUCACAUUACACGUCAAUACAUCGCUUCCAAAAGGAAUUUUUUUGAAAUAAAAGGAUAGUCAACCGUAUGUAGCUUACUUUGCUUUUCACCAGAGCAGGUAAUAAAAAAAGCCUGCCUAAUGCCAGGCAGCUGCAAGGGAGUUACGGUCUCACACUCGUUGAGCUGUGCAGUUCCGUCGAUAACCAGCAACUCCAGAAGAUUUGACUUUUUGGACUUCUUGAGCAAUUGGCUAAUACCAAAAGCAAAUCUGUCCGUCAGCACACCAUACAACCUGAAAGAGCUGGAAACUGUACAGAGAAUGUAUUUCGUUCUCUGCAGAAAAUACAAUUGAUUUUGCCUUGCGCUGCAAUAAUUUGGAAGCUCAAAGUUUUUGGGAAGAUACGCCAACUCUCGCACAUACAGGAUCUAGUCAGCUUGGACUUGAAUUUAUUGCAUGCAUUACCACGUGGCACCCGGGGCUCGUUCGAGGUCUUCAACCCUUCCUCCUCCGCUGUCGAACCACCCUCCAUGUUCCGCCCGGCCGCCGCUGCCAAGUCCACCUGCUCGCUCAUCUAGGAAGUAGCUGGCGGCAUCGAGUAUGUCGGCAAGCCGACUCAACAGGCGGAUGAGUGGGAACUCGUGCAGAUCAACCAGCGGACUGGCCGGCCGCACGGCGUGUCCGCCCGCUCCUCCGGCGGUGGGCAACAGACGCCCUGCGCGCCUGAAUAGGCAAGGCCCUCGGGCUGCAAGCAUAAAAAAUUCAAGACACGAAGCAAAUUGUGAGAGAUUGGAGUCGAUCAUGGGAUUUUGUGACGAAUUCCUUGGCAGAAGUUGCAGCGAGAGGGGCCUCAACAUAUCCUUGAAGGACGCCGCUCGCGCCUGGGCGUGACGGCGUGUUAAUCUUGGAGAUGACGGCGGCGUAGCCGACCUUGAGGCGCAUUGCGGCGUCGACCCACACGUCGUUGGCGAACCGCACUUUGGGGCCCUCCAUCAUCGCCAGAGCUAUCGGAGAGGACGCCUCGCACAUACCCAAUUCCAAACCGAUCUCUCUGAUGGCUCCUUGCCGCCUGAGCCUCACGUCACGUAUGAGCUCACGUAUUUGACUGCAGUGCAAACGUGUAGGAUCGAGUCGGUCGAGUUCCUUCUCCUACCCGGACGAAAGCCCACUCCAGGUCGGUGCGGACCAAAAUUUUGCUAGCAUGACAACGGACAAAGAACGGACACGUUGCGACUUGCGUGCGAGAGGGACGGACUGCGGGUUGAUUACUGAAAACUUAAGGGGUGUUUUCGCAAAAUUACCACAACGGUUGAAGGAUUGAAAGAAACAUCCUCUCUUUAAUAUUAGGUAUAGAUUAAUCAGCUCUCUGAGACUGGAAUCGGAUUUUUUCUCCCCUCUCCUCAUUAAAUAUUAAUUAAUGCUAUGGACACUAGCUGAGGUGGAGGGUUAGGACCAUAUAAAAAGUACAUAUGUAAUACAAGUUGCACUAAAAUUUAUGUGUAACUAACAUACAAAUAAUAUUUACUCUCUCCGUCUCAAAAAGACUGUUCGUUUAGCCUCUAAAACUUGUCCCACAAAGAGUGUUUAUAUAAGGCCCUCUUAGUACCUUCUGGUGGUGCAGUUAACGAAUCGAUUAUUAACUUCCACCAUUGAUGCCCGAGCCAAACUCGCUAAAUAAGAUAGGCUAAUAGGUCCGAUAAUUACUACAAGCGUGCAUGCGUAAUUAAUACUACUCGGUAAUCCAUCUGAUUAAGAAGAGUUAUUAGGGGUACUUUGGACUUUUAGCAUUGCUACUAUCGAAUUUUCUUUGUGGGACGGAGGAAGUACUACUCAUAACAUCAAAAUUGGCAUAAAAUUAUUAUAGGUUUAACUAACGUACAACAACUCCAUGUUUUUGCAGAGUUGGUGGAGUGGAGCUGCAAAAGGAUGGAGUUGGUGGAGUGGAGCUGUGUUUUUUGAAAUGUAGUGUUGCCAAACACCUUCUAACUAUGUGAUCCUAUGCCCACGGCCCAAAUAAAAUGUAGUGAUCGAACAAUGUAGUCCACAGUGUAGUGAUCAGAAAGCAAUUAAUGGCACCACGUAGGGAAAGAGAUUCAAAGAUAGUAAUGCCUUUGUAAAGUGGAUAUGGUCACAUUUAUUUGAAUUUAGAAACCAUGUAAACUGGAUAUGGUCACAUUUAUAUGAAUAUAUCAAGAUUACAAGCCAUGCCAUUGAGAUAUGCUGAAAUUAAUAUAUAAACAACCAUUCAAUUUAUUAUACCAUAGGCCAAGCCUCUAUAUAAACACCAUCUAAGCAGAAGUACAAAUGCAAACUUCCUCUUUUUCUCCUCAGUCAUGGCAACCACCAGAAGCGGCAAGAUGAGGGCUGUGUUCCUGGUAGCUGCUGCUAUGUUUGUUGUUAUCGUGUCUUGCACACUCUUUUCCACCACCUAUGCACGUACGUACCUAUUUCAAUUUGUUCCACAAAUAUUCGAGCGUUCAAAAUCCACUAACCAACUUUUUUUGCAGGUUGUGAUCUCAUACCGGGAGGAAUUUGCAGUGAAGAAAACUGUCACGUGGAAUACUGCGGAAAGUUGUACGGCCAAGAACACCACUACGAAAAAGUGUAUUGCUUGAAGACUCCUCCUUUCCCGGAUCAGUGUUGCUGCGAGGUUAAAGUUGGUAGCCCACCACCAUCAGGACACCACCCGAGUCCCCCCAAGUCAUCAUCCAAGCCCGGUGUUGUUGUGAAAUAGCUGCGCUGGCCCAUGACGGUUUCCUUGCUUUGAGCAAUAUCUACAGGCCAACUCUGCUCUUGCAUGUAAUGCAGCUAAUUUACCCGAAGCAAAUGCAAUAAAAGAUGUUUUUUUAUCUUAAGGCCUUCAAGAAACUUUGAAUUGGCCCCAGCAAUGUUUAUCAGUAUAAUUUUAUACUUUAGCACCCCUACAAAAUGACGUGCGGAGAUUGUCUCGCAUUCCCCGAUUUUCUCAUCCCUUAUGAAACAGAUAGCCCCAUACCAACGGUGGGGUUUACAUGACGGCGAGCGAGUGCGGAGCAUAUUUAUUACGGAAAUGCUAUCAUCAGGGCGUCCGGACGCCCAUCCACAUUUUCGGACGCGUCAUCCACCGUUCGCUAUAUCCGACGGCUCCCCUUGCUUCUUACCCGCAACCGCCCCCGCGCGGUUAUUUCCCCUUUUCCAACCCGCAACAGCCCUCAUUUUCCUCCCUCCCUGUUCCAUUCCAUUUGCUCCGCAACCGCUGCAUUUGCUCUGGCGAUGCGGUCGCCGCGUCCGGUGGGAGGGACACCCAAGUCCUCUUCCGUCUCGCCGGCGCUCCCUUCUUCGCCUCCGAUGGGAAGGAUCACCAGGUCUUCAUCUGCCUCGCUGGGAACGCGGUCACCGCGCCCUGUUCGAAGUCCGUCCAGGCCCUCCGCGCCGGCAAUGCGGUCGCCGCGCCCGCUUCGAAGUCCGCCCCCGGAGGUAAAUUGCGGUGAGCCAAGCAUCGAUGUUGGCGUUUCCUCCCGCACGCGCUCUCGCCACCAGCUUUCGUCUCCCCUUGGUUUGGACCCCGCUGCUGCUCCGCCAGAUCUGCGUGAAGCAAAAUCCUCCCCCCAAUGCUCUUCAGGACAACGAUAACAACCGCGCGGGUGAGUGUUUUUAAUUCCGUUCCGUUGUUUUUCUGUGGAUUUUGGUUCGGAUUUGAUUUCGUUUAGUGUUUUAGAGUUCAUCAGUUUAGUGUUUCUAGGAUUUUUGAACUAGCAUAUCCUGUGUUAGGGUUACAUGUCAGCGCUAUUUUUUCAGUUGAGAUGUUGCAAAAGUUUUAGAUGAUAACAUUCAUGUUACCAUUUUAUUUAGAGAUGUUUCAUCAAUUACUUAUCAAUGUUGCUACAGAUUUUUUGAUAUGUUGCAAUAGUUUGGAUGAUAUUUAGAGGUUAACAUUCAGUUCAUCUUUUUAAAUUUCAGUUGUUUCAUUAAUUAUUUACCAAUGUUGCACCUGCGUUACUUUGAUGUUGCAAUAAUUUACAGGAUGUUUAGGAUAUAACAUUUAGUUCACCUUUUUAAUUCUGAUGUGUUUCAUUAAUUAGUUAUCAAUGUUGCACCUGCUUUUUUGAGAUGUUGCAAAAGUUUAGAGUAUAACAUUGAGUUCACCUUUUUAAUUCUGAGAUGUUUCAUUAAUUAUUUAUCAAUGUUGCACCUGCUUUUUUCAAAUGUUGCAUAUCUAUACAGGUUAUAUGUUGUAUCAAUUAGUUAACAUAUUCAUUUUGAAUUGUUUCAUUAAUUUAAUAUCAAUGUGGCACUUGCUGAAUAGGGAUGUUUCAAAGAAUUUUUAGAUUCUGAAACAUUAAAUUUUCAUGUACCAUUCAAUUAUACCUUUUUUAUCAUUUACUUGCUGUCUUUUUUUCAUCUUAUUUUUCAUUCUUUUUGCUGAUACUUUGUUUUAUUUAUUGUUAGCAGUUAAGGUGCAGUUAGGAAAAGAGGAGGAACACUUCAAGACUAGAUUCUCAGUUCAUAGAAUUUGUGACCUACUUCCUAAUCUUGAGGAUCAUCAGAAGCAGUGGAUCAAUGAAGCUGGCUUUGGUGCUCUGUUGACGUUGGCUAAGUUUUCAUUGCCAGUGAAGCUUGUUAAAUGGAUGCUUAAACAUAUGGAUCCUUUGCUCCGGGAGUUUAGAUACAGGAACAAGGUCAUUGUAUUCAACCGUGAUCUUGUUUGCAAAAUUCUUGGGCUUCAAAAUGGCAUCAUUCCUUUGAGGUUAUCUGGUGACUCGGAAGAUGUCAAGAAACUUCGGGAAGUCUACAAGGAUGGUGAUAGAGCUAAAAUUGCAAAGUGUAAAGAGAUUGUGCAAUCUAGCAAGGACAGGGAUUCCUUUGUGAGAGCUUUUUCUCUGUUGGCUCUAGGGACUAUCUACACUCCAGGAACAGGCAACUAUAUCAGCCUCAAAUAUCUUCAUAAUCUAGUUGAUAUUUCUGAAAUCAGCACCUUUGAUUGGGCGGGGCAUCUGUUGGAUGAGCUGAUGAAUGAAGUCAAGAAGUACCAUAAAUUUACUCCUGAUAGGCUUGACAAAGACCACCAAAUGGGAUCUUGUCUAAUUAUUCUAGCGGUAUGGAUAUUUAAUGCCUUUCUUUCAGCAUUUUAAGUUCCUUUUUCCUGCCCAUUCAAUAAUUCUAUGAUCAUAUUCUUGUAUUCUCUCUUACAAGGACCAUCUUAUCAAAUUUCAGAUUGCUUACAUGGACCAUCUUGAUUUGCCAACUGAUCGAGGAGGCCAUCAAUUGAAUUACAACCUGCCUCGUAUCUGCAAUGUUUCAAACACAGACUUUGAUUUUGUCUUGGCAGUUGAUAAAAACAGGCUUUCAUUGGGCAAUACAUUUGGAAAACUCCCUGUAUGUUCUUUUCAUAAUCUUUUCUUCAUUCCUGUUGCCAUCUUUUUCAUUACUUUUUGCCUUCUUUAAAAAUUUCCAUGCUUCUUUUCAUGAUCAGUUUUGCGACUUCUCCCGUACUCCUUAUGGUGCUGCUCCAAUUGUACAAGAACACCCUGCCCCUGCUGUUGGAAUUCCUGCUCCUGCUGCCACUGAGGAAGUCCCUGACCCAGCUACCACUGAGGAAAUCCCUGCUAUCAGCUCUUUAGAUGAAUGGCUGCAUCAACUACCAUCCAGUAACAAUCUUCUUCAUCAGGUGAAAAAACAUGUUACAUUUUUAGUUUCUGAUUGUGUCAUCUUAUUAUACUCUGUGUUGCAAUUCAUUCUCUGCUCAAACACUUUUAAUGUUGUUGUAGUAUAUCUUUAAAUUAUACCCAUAGUUUGGUUUCAUUUAAAUUUGUGUUGUUGUAGUAGUUCUUUAAUGUUUCGAAUCAACAAAUAGGUGUUACAGAAAAAUACAUCUGUUUUCACAAAAUAUAAUAUAUUUCACCUUGUUUUCACCAAUGUUUCAGUACACAUUCUUAUGGUGUUGCAUGUUAACUUUCUGUGUUUUUCAUAUUUUUAGUUUCAUCCCAUCAUGUUGCAAUGUCCCAUUACACUUAUUGCUAAUACUGUUUUAUUUAUUUUAUAAUUCUAUAUAACAGAUCCCUCUGGAGUAUCAGAAUGUUGCUUCUCAUUACUCUAAACUUGUAGAGCAAGAUGUUCUCCAACUUGCCGAUGCUAUCUCUACAACGAUCAGUGCGCAAAUUAAAGAUAAGGUCGUGGCUAUUUGGAGGAGACGUCACAUUGAAAUGUUGGGCAAGAUGGCAGAUCUAGCUAACAUGACGAGGAAUGAUGGUGUUGAAGCAGGGGUUUCCACCUCUAAUGUUGAUGCAGCAGAUCCUUCCAUGUGUGGUGGUUCAGAUGGGCAAACUUCCAAUGCUGCUGCCACAACAGAUGCAUCAACUAGCACUUUAGGAGCCCCCACCAGUGCUGCUGGUUCACCUAUUGACAAGACAAGCAACGAUUCAAGUUAUCUUGAUGACAUCCCUUCAUUUGAUCUCUUGUCCAGCCAAGGAAUUGAAACAGAUUGUUUGACCCCAGUGGCAGCAGCAUCUAAUUUGGGUGACUUUUUUUUACCUUUUUUUUGUCUCCAUUUUCAUUCCUCUUUUCUUACACGUAUUUGAGUAUUUUUAUUAUUCUUUGUGUUUGCAGCUGAUCUCACCAUUGAUGAGACUAUUGUUAACAAGCCUGGGUCAAGUACAUUUGACAAGAAAAACGGGAGGAAGAGGGCUGCUAUCCAUCUGAACCAAGGAAAGAAAUUGAAGAGAAAAAGUGCCAAUCAAUCCAAAUGCGAAUAAUGAUGAACAAGAACAACCGUGAGCAAUUCUUUAUGUCUUUCUCAAUGUUCCUUAUCUAUGUUUCACAUGUUUCAGUAGGUCCAGUUAGAUGUUUCAAGUAUGUAGUACUCAUGUUACAGCAGUUCAAUUUUCUAUCCAAUGUUCCUUAUGUAUGUUUCACAUGUUUCAGUAGGUCCAUUUAGAUGUUUCAAAUGUGUAGUACUCAUGUUACAGCAGUUCAAUUUUUUUUCCCAAUGUUCCUUAUAUAUGUUUCACAUGUUUCAGUAGGUAUAGUUAGAUGUUUCAAAUAUGUAGUACUCAUGUUACAGCAGUUCAAUUUUUCCCCCAAUGUUCCUUCUGUAUAUUUCACAUGUUUCAGUAGGUCUAGUUAGAUGUUUCAAAUCCUAAUUUAGUUUUUUUUAUCCCAGCCCCACCAUUUGUUCGAAUUGAUGGCUUCCAUGUUACUUAUGAUGAAUUCUAUGGAUCCUUCAAGCAAAGGGGGGAAAUUAAUAACCAUGUGAUGGCUUUAUGGUCCUAUGAAUUUAACAUUGAAGAAGCUGAAUUGCGUGAGAAGGACAAUAACAUCGUUGAGAAAUUUGCUUUAUCUACUGUUCUCACUGUAAGAUUUGAAUUCUGUUUUGCAAUUUUUUAUUACCAUCAUAUGUGCCCCUGCAUUCAUUAUGAUAGUUUCUAACUUUUUUUCAAGGACAAGCUAAAAAUUGAACCUGAUAAUUUCAUACAAGACAGCUGCAACACGGCUUUGACAAUUUUGAACAAGUCUUGGGAUCUCUCAAAAAUGGAUCUGGUACUGUGUUGCACAAUUAAGUUGCCUUUCAUUUCCCAUUCUUUUUUUUCUUAUCUACUUUUUUUUGUAGUUGUUUUUCCCUAUUGUUGAAGAAGGGCAUUGGGUACUUGUCAGUGUCAACAUGUUUCUAAAGGAAAUUUGCUGGUUCAAUUCUCUUGGGGAUCUCGUGAUACGAAAUGUUUUGUUUCUGCCAAGAAUGUGGUCAGUACUCUCAAACUUGCAUCUCUUUCUUUUGUUAUUAAUAGCCUCUGUUACUUGAUGCUUUUUUUCAUCUUAUGGUGUGUCAAUAAUUGAAAAUCAAUGUUGCACCUGAUGAUUUACGAUGUUGCAGAACUAUAGAGGUUGUAGAUUGUAACUGACAAUUAAACUUUUUUAGAAUUUGCGAUGUUACAAUAGUUAAUUACCAUUGUGGCAGAUGCUGAUUUGAAAUGUUUCAAUAGUAUAUAACGUACCAUUUGUUUCUAUUUUUAGGUCACCAAUUUUUCAAAAGCAUGUAUACAAGCUGGGGUGCUAAACAAAGACAUCUCUCUGUUUGAUUGGAAAUAUCCCACGGACUACCCGUAUAAAAAAUCUUUGUAAGUUUUUCAUCAUUCAUGCAGUUUUUUCAUCUUUUCUCACCAUGUUUCUUUUGAUAACCCAAUUCUUUUUGUUUUCAGGCAUGAUUGUGGGUUAUACACAAUGCUAUAUAUGAAGUCUUGGAAUGGGAAGAAGAUGGACACCACAUUUGAGCCAGUAUGUCUUAUUGCAAUGUGGCUACCUAAUUCUUUUACCCAAAUAUAUGAUGUUACUUCUGCAAUUUUUUUGGUAUCUAAUUCUGUUUUCUUUUUCCCUUUUUUAGCACAUGAUUGCAAACUAUAGAAAAUUGGCUGCAGGCAUUCUCCUACUUUUUCCAAGAAAUGAUAUCUUGACAAGCGAGUUUGUUGAAAAAUAUUGCAACCAGAAGUAGUGACAUCAUGUUUCGUUGUGCAAUAUAGGAGUUUAGGUCUCUGUAUAUAGCUAACAAUCAUCUUAGAAAUGUGGAUGUAUGGAGUAUUCAGGAUUGUGGGAUACCAAUUAUUUUACCUCAGCUUAGUUUUUUUAUAUGUUGCCGUAGUGCACUUCAUAUGUUGCGAAUUCUGCUUUACUAUGUUGCAGAAAUGUUGGCUUUAAUUUUCUUGUUUGCAACAUUUAUGGAUAACUGAUGAAACAUCAUUAACUUACUAUUGCAACAUAUACUAUAAAUCUUUUUUUUCUUGCCUUCUUCCUUGUUUUUUAUAUCUUCAAUUGGUGUCGUAUGUUGUUGUACUAUAAUUUUAAUGUUGCAAAUUCUACGGAACCAUGUUGCAAUAAUGUUGUCGUGCCAUUUCUAUUUUGCAACAAGUGUUCACAACAUUUGAAACACCAAACUAAUGAAGUUGCAACAUCAACUGUCGCAAUGAUACAUCACAUCUUUUUUUUUGAUGCCACACAAUAUGUAGUUUAAUUCAUCUCCAGCUCAUGGUCUAAUACCAAUACCACAAGGCUCAAUCUCAUACAUGGGCAUAACAACAGCAUCAUAAAAAAAAUUAAUAUAAAUGAGAUAUAAUGUUGCAGUUCAUAAAAUGAAAUGUUGCAGUACUUUCUAAUACAUGUUUCAGGUCAUUCUAAUAAAAGAAUAAUUAAAAAUUCAGAGCUUUAGCUCUGUUUCUUUAAGAUCCUUUGCAAGUGCCUCCGCCUUGACCAUGUAUGCGCAAGUCUAUACACUAUGACCAUCUUCAAAGCAAUAUGAGCAUGGUGGGAUUUUUUGGGCUGUCUUCUUUCCUUUUGCCUUCCUUUUCAUUGCUUUGUCCUUAGCUUGUGCCACUACUGACUUGAACCUUUCCACCUUCUCCUUUGGUCUCCCUUUAAUUUUUGUUCUUGUUGGAUUCUUUACCAUGACAGCAGGAGUUUUGGACUGUUGACCUGUUGCAACAUUGGACGCUUCAUCUUGUUGCAUUUCUUGUGACCCCCUUGCUGUCCUGACUGCUUGUACCAAUGUAUCUAUCCCAGCUGAAGCUACAAUGUACUUUUCAGGACCCAAACAAGCUUCAGCUGCUAGUGACGUCAUUUUUUUGCACAAUGCAUUGUACCUUAGCUUGUUUGUGGUUGGGACACCAAAUGCUGGUUCUGUACCCGAGAGGCAUUCCGGUAUCAUUAUAGUCACUCCUUUGACCAUCUUCUAAGUAGAUACUUCUCUGGAAUUUUUUCAACAACCCUGUUUGUGAAUACUUUUAGUAUGUGAGGACACAAGAGGCCACCACGGUCAAACAUGUUGCAAGAGCAUGUAUAUGAUGUUGCAUCUUUAUGACCAGGCGAACUCUAGUUGAAUUUGGGUGCACAAUUUGAAUGGACCAACCCUGGUCAUCACUUUCAACAGCCCCUACCUUGUAUCUUGUAGAAUCACGCAACAACUCUUGAAAUUUACCAAAGACUUCACCGGUGUAGAAUGAAGCAGCUUGCUUCUCAAAAGCAUACCUUCCCCAUAGUGAUGGAUCUGAAAUCUCUCCCUUGCAACGCUCCUUAUUUUCUCUUUCUGCCCUGGUGUCCAUGCUGUAAUCAUAUUGUGUUAUAAAUUGCAACAUUGAGUCCUGAGGGUGAACAACUUUCUUGAACAAUGAAUUCAUGCUUUCGGAUCUUCCUUUUGUGCUUGUGAAGGGGAAGAAGUACUUUCUGAAGUAUGCAGGUGCCCACAUCCUCCUUGUACCAGAAAUACUUUGAAAGAAUUCAUUUUCCUGCAAGUGGUAUUUGUCCUCUAUGCUUGCCCACAACAUCUCAAAUUCUUCUGGUGUUUCAGUCCUGUUCACAUAGUAGUCAAACUCCUUUGCAAAGUCUUCUUCCUCACUAAUAAGCCAAGCAAGCUUAUCAUUAGCCUUGCUCAGGACAUGCCACUUGCAACAUCUGUGUGUUGCGUUAGGGAACACUAUUGCUAUUGCUGCUUUCAUUGCUUUAUCCUGGUCUGUCAUUAUGUUGGUUGGUUCACGCCCACCCAUCGCUCCCUUCAACCUUUCUAGCACCCAAACAAAUGUUUCUGUUGUUUCAUCUGGUAACAUUGCACAUCCAAGCAGUAUGCUAUGCAAAUGGUUAUUUAUCCCAACAAUUGGUGCAAAUGGCAUGUCGUAUCUGUUGGUGCAAUAUGUUGUGUCAAAGAAAAUGCAAUCUCCAAACUCUUGUACAACUCUCUAGUCCUCCCAUCUACCCAAAACAAUCCGCUAACAACAUUAUUAUCAUCUAUCAUUGUUGCAUAAUAGAAGGAAGGACUUUCAGCUUGUUGCUUUUGAAAAUAAUCUAAUGUUGCAUCCAUAUCCCUGUAGGUGAGACCUCCUCUCAAGUGUGUCCUCAUGUUCGAAACAUCCUUGGUGCUGAAAGUAAGGUUGCCAAGCCCCCCAUGGAAAUCAGCAAGCACCCCCAUGAUCUGUGUUGUGCUAAUAUUUCUAUGGUGUAGUGUUUUCAGCAGCUCAUAAUUAGCCCACGAGAUGCUUCGGUGGGACCUCAAGUGUUUCCUAACCCUAAUCGCCUUCACCAUGGGAUGAGUAUGGUCAGGUUGCAUUACAAUCACUCUCCACCUCGAAUUUCUCAAGCCAACCGCUAUAUGAGCUUUGCAGUCCAACUUUUUGAUAGUGUUGCGCUUCCUUGUUGCUGUGGUAAGCACAGCUGUUGCUGCUCUUUUUUUCGAUCCCACUAGUGUUGCAGUGUCAUUUGUUGAUGUGCUCGCUGAUGUGUUUUCCUCUCCAUCAUCUUCUCCAUCAAUAGCUGGCUUCCUAGCAUGAGAACACUCCCACUCCUUUCUGAUCAGCUCCUUUGUGACGUUGCUAUUUCUUGAAGAAGCCACUCUUAUGCUGAAACCCAACUUCAUGGCAUACUCAUUGUAGACCUGCCUUACUUCCUGUAUCGUGUCAAAUUCCAUCCCAACUUUCGACACAAUAGGCUGUGAGCAUACGACGUCUUCAUCCUUAUGGUAGACCUCUUCAUUUGCACCAACUUGUACUGAAACAUAUUCACUUGAGUGUGUUGUUAUGCUCGCAACAGGAACCAAUGCUCCACCCCCUGCAACAAAUAAAUGUUACAGUUAGUGUUACUAGCGAAAUCAAUGUUCAGAUGUUGCAAAAACUGUACAUGGAAGUAAGAUGCAACAUUCAGUUAGCACAUACAAUUUUUGAUGUUUCAAUAACUGAUUUUCAAUGUGGCACAUGCUAUCAUUAGAUGUUGCAACACUUAUAUGUAACAUUCAGUUAACCUAUGAGCAUCAUGAGAUGUUGCAAUAACUUUUUUUCAAUGUUCCACAUGGUAUCAUUAGAUGUUGCAAAACUGUAUAAGAUUCUGUCACAUCUAGUGUUUCAAACGAAUCAUACCUGCCGUUUCUGGAGACUCGAUUGGGAUGCCAAUCCCCCAUGGACGCUGCUCAAAAGACCUGGGGCAGGUGUUGAAGUGAAUUAUCACGUUUGCUCAAAGAAUUCAAUGCGACAUUUAGGGAUUCCGAGCAACAAUGGGGGCGGCAUACCUGGUAGCGUGUUGAGGUCAAUCAUCUGUAGAUCUGAGGUGUUCCGGGCAACAAUGGGGGGCGGGUGGCCGCCAUGUGGUUGAUCUGGAGGGUGGAGUUUGAUUUUUUGAAGGAUAUGCGCCAUCUGGGCUGCGGCGCCGGCGGAUCUAGGCGGCGCGGCGCGAAGCUGGGAGCUUCGCUCCUGUCCCGACCCGCGUGAAGGAGUUGACGCCAGGGUAUUUUUUUUCUGUGGUUGGUGCGGACUUGUCCCGAUCUCCUUUGUGUUAUCUGACGACUGACAUGUAUUGAAUCCGACGGUGGCGAGUGUGUUCGAUUUUUGCGCCCGGAACGGACGUCCGGGCGCUAGUAGUUCCGUAUUUAUUAGCAUCAGACACGACCCGAGGUCAGAUUUAAAAAAUCAGGAAUCGGAGACUAUAAUGGCUCGAUUCACUUAAAAAGAAUCCAUGCAAUCGAAUCGGUAAAAAUCGGUUGACCCGGCUGGUUUCUAUGGAUUCGGAGAAUUGGACUGGUUUCUAGUAAAUAAAGGCAACCCAGCUCACCAAAAGCAACUAUGAGCCCGCCAACAUCACAUAAUAUGGGUCUGCAUAAAAUCCAUAACUGGGGAAUAUAAUGAUCACAAUCAGCAGAAAUCAUGACGAUAAAAACAAUAAACGCAAGCCGGGAAGUACUGUCUCAGAUUGUACGCUGUUUUGGCUUUUCUAUGUGCAUAUUUUGUUUAAAAAAAUUCAAAUUACUCCCUUCAAAUAUAACCAAAGUCUGGAUAUCCUACUAAAGUAUUUCUUAGUUUAGUUUACCCCCUAAACUAUGUCAUUUGGUUUAAUGCAAGUUGUCUUUUUUCCAUGCACAAGUGGAAUCUUAAGUUCAAAUUUUGCAGGAUGAUAGUAGACAUCAUAAGACUUGUUAGAAAAAUAUAUCAUAAUUUUUUAUCAUUAUUUUGAUAGGGUAGGAUAUUUAAUAAUAAAUUUUAUCCUUGAGAUACAAAAUUAUAUAAAGUAAUGAUGAAAAAUUCAUAAUUUUUUUAUAUAGAUUAUGAUGUCCACUACCACCCUGCAAAGUCUUAAAUUAAAUCAACUUGUGUAUGGAGAAACAAAAAUGACAAAAUGCAUUCUGGGGUAAGUUGAACCAAAUAAUAUAGUUUAAGGGGUAAAUUGAACCAAAAUAUAGUUUAGGUAGUAAUUUAAAAUUUUUCCUCUUAAAUUUUUUAAUUAUAUAUGGGAUCUAGAAAAUUCAAAACGAUCUAAAAUUUGAAACGGAGGGAGUAACACCCAUAAAACACCCCUAUAAAUAUAAAUUAAAACUUAAACUCUACACUAAUCAACUUGCAUGAGGAUAAUGUUCUAUAUUCACAAGAAAAAAGAAAAGAAAAUUAACAUAUUUUUCUGAAGCAAAUGCAAUAAAAGAUGGCUUUGUAUUUGGCCCCAGUUAGUAAUGUUUAUUCCUGCACAAUUUUACUUUGUACCCCUUGAAACUUGAAAGUGAUUUGGGGACGAGAUUAUCUCCCGUUCCCCAGUGGCCCAGUCAGUACAGCGAAACGCGGUGGGGCCCACAUGUCGGCGAGCAAACGCGGCGGACAGCCUCGCAGCCGUCUCCUCUGCCGGUGAAGCAACAGCUCAUCCGCGCAUUGACUACCCCUUUCUAUCCCCUCUCGCGUGUGUGGUCCCGUUUCGCGAUCCCCAAAGCCCUCUCCCAAAACCCCCGCGCAUUUUCACGUAUUGGGUCUGUCACCCACGUUUUCGUGGCAGCCGCCGCCGCGGUCGCCCCACGCAUCGGCCUCGCCGCCGCCGGGGCUGGGUCCCGCGGCCACCGCCGGCAGCCGACGCGGAAGCUGGGCUUCCCGGCGGGGCAGAGGGCGCGUUCCGUGGCCGUCGCGGCCGCGGCAUCCCCUCCGUCGGCCGGCGGGGUGACGCCGGUGCCACCCCGCUCCAGCCGCUCGUAAGACUACCUUCUCUUAGAAUUUCCUGCGGGAUCUGGUUCCCUACGGGCGUUUAGUGGGGGACGCUUGCAGGAGCCCCUCUCGGUUCGAGCUCUGUUUAUUUUCUCCCCCAUUUGUAAGGUGUUGUAGUACGGCACGGAUGAGAAUGUGUCUUGUGCGAGGAAUUUAGCCGAGCUUUGUCGGUUGCGGCUGUCUGGCUUGGAUUUAGCUGAGAUUUGUCAGAUGGAUCGUGCUGACCUCAUCAGGUGGUCAUUUGCAAUCCUGCAUCGCCAUGCCUUUAAUUAGAUGUGGUCACUCAUAUAUCAUAGGCCAUUUUAAUACUUCUUUAAGGGACUGAAAUCAUUUCGAUCUUGAUCAUUCGUGAGGUUUGGUUUCAAAUAUAUUGUAUACAUUUAGGGUUCAUACUAAUAUGAAACUUUUUUUUUUCUAUCUUUGAUAUGGAAAGAAUUGAAGAAAAUUAAUGAAUUAAUAUGCAAUCAUUUUCAUGAUAUCAUUAUGUAUGUAUGCCAUGUAACCUGAUGGCCGUGCUACUGUAUGAUUGAUAUUAACAAAGCAGAUUGAAAAACUAAAAAAAAUGACAAAAAGGAUUAAUUCACAUGACAUAAAGAAUUAAUGGGUUAUUGAAUUCUGUGAUAAAGUAUAUCAUGAGACCAUGAGAGGUGUGCAUGGAAUGGUGAACAAGGUUUCCUUGAAAUCCAGAGUGAUCCCAGGAUUAUGCCGUGGGAUUACUCUGUUUUAAUUACUUUCCAAAUUCUCAGUUAUUUUGCAAAUAUGGGCUUGAGUCAGGGUUGUUUCAUUUCUUUACUUUUUUUCCCAAUUCUUCCUUUCUUUAACUUAUCAUUCGUCUUAUUUAAUGAAAUGACACAGCUCUCCUGCAUGUUUGAGGGGAAAAAACUUCUUAAUUAUUAUGUAGAACUCUAGAUUGUCCUAAUGCGACCAAGAUCGCAAAGGAAAGCCAUUUGUAAUACAAAAAUGCCAAUUCAAAUGGUUUGUAAAAUACAUUAUGGUGUGGUACCUUUUUAGAUAAGCUGCCAAAAUAGGGAAUGUUUCUACCCUACAUUGUCAAUAUAUGUUAGCAACUGGAACUAAUGAUCCUAUUGGCAAAUGUGUUGCAGCCUUAGUGGGGAUCUUUAUGUUGUAGCAUCCUUAUAUUGUAAGUGCUGUAAAUUGUUCAAUUCUGUGGCAAAGCAUUAUUAAGCAUGUGCCCCUAAUAAGUUUUUAUUAACAGUUGUUACUGCACUUUCUCAUUGAUGUGCCUGGAUGAGUUUUCCUUUUUAAUUUGUAGGUCUAUAAAGCGUCACACGCUAUCAGUUUUUGUUGGUGAUGAAAGUGGGAUGAUCAAUCGAAUUGCUGGAGUUUUUGCUAGAAGAGGAUAUAACAUCGAGUCAUUGGCUGUUGGGCUGAACAAGGAUAAAGCAUUAUUUACAAUAGUAGUGUCAGGAACAGACAAAAUAUUGAACCAAGUUGUAGAGCAACUAAACAAACUUGUUAAUGUUAUAAAGGUCAGUAUUUUUCCUUAUAACAUGUGACUUACAAAAAUGAUUGGUAACUAAUAUGUCACAGAAGUCAUUGCUCUUUGUUUUGGCCUGAGUCAGUUCAACAGUGUAUCUUGUAUUCAUAUCUUAACAUUUGGAUUAAUAAACAGGUUGUUGACUUAACAAAUGAACCACAAGUUGAAAGAGAACUGAUGCUUAUAAAAGUAAAUGUGGAGCGAGAUAAGCUGCCUGAGGUAUAAGCAUACAAAUCUUCCUAAAUGUAUCUGCACUUUCUGGCCUUGUAAACUUAAAAGUUAACAUUUAAUAUGGGUCAUUUUGGUAGCAAGAAAUAUAUAAAUUGGCAACAAAUCACAAAUCAAUUCUGCAGACCUGGUGCAAACUAGCACAUUAAACUUUAUUGUUUAGCUGACAUCUCUAGUUGUGAAUGCAGAUAAUGGGUUUGGUUCGCAUUUUCAAAGCAGAAGUGGUCGAUCUUGCUGACGAUACACUAACUAUUGAGGUAAUGUCCUUGGUGUGUCUUGACUUGAAGAUAACUCAUGUUGUUGUGCUUAUGGUUCUUUCCUGUGAUUACGUUCAUGUAACUGGAGAUCCAGGAAGAUGGUUGCAAUACAGAGACUCUGAGCAAACAUGGGAUCAAAGAAAUUGCUAGACUGGCAAGGUCAUUCUUGUUCAGAAAAUAGUGAAAAAUUAUCAUGAUCUUGUUCUACACUAGACCUAAUGAACCUUAUUGAUUUUAUAGAUAGCUGUGCGCCGUCAAAAAAUGGGAGAAACUGCUCCAUUUUUGGGGUUCUCUGCAGCUCCUUAUCCUGAUCUCGAAGUGACAAUACCUUCAACUUCUCGACUUAGCACUGGAGUGGAUGCAAUCAAUCAGAAUUCCAACGAAUCUUCAGGGGUAAGAAACCACAAUUGUCCUUUUACCUGGUAAUUGAUGUACUAUGUGUUUAGUUUCUCAACACUUAACAGCUAGUUUUGCUUGGUUGCAUUGAAUAAAUUUGCACUCACGCUUCCUGUUGAUUAGCUUCACAUGAACGAUUUGUUCUUUUGAUUUGGUUUUAAUUGCUGUUCGUUCCGUUGAUCUGGGUACUAAAUACCCAUUGGUCUUUAUGAAGAAAUGGAUUAUUACAUGUACAUGUACAUGUCAUGACAUCACUUACAUAUUUUUAUAUUUGCAUAAAUCUGAUAUUGCACUCAAAUAGUGCUAAUUCAUUACUUAAUCUGUCCUUUGUAUUAGACUGUAUUAGGUGCUACAUUCCCGGCUGGCCCCGGCUGGUCCUUUGGGCCGUGGGUGGUGCUGCGCUGGCCUGUUGCCGUGCCCAACCCCCUUGGGUCUCUGGUAGAUUAGGCAAGGGCCUCCUUGAUUGGUGCUAUCUAUAAACGAAACCCUACGACACCCUUGCCUGUAUAUGUAUGUCUGCUAUGCACCUCCAUUAAUCAAUCUACUAAUUCCCCAGCCAUACUUGCUUUCACUUUGGACACUUAGUGUUUUGGUUGUAUCAUUAAAUUACUUAAAUAUAACUAGUUAGAAAAUGCUCGCACAUUCUUUUUUCUUUGUCAGCAUAAUGUUUUCUGGAAAUACCUUUUAUCAUCCUCACAAUGUUAGUUUGAAUUUGGAAUGAGGGUUUUAUAUGAACUUUUCUUCUAAACAGGGUGAUGUUUAUCCAGUGGAGUCUUAUGAAAGCUUCUCAGCAAAUCAAAUUCUUGAUGCUCAUUGGGGUGUUAUCACUGAUAAUGAUGUAAGCUCUUGUAUUCUAAUCACUUUGAACUGUUUGGUGCUAGCUAGAAAUGAUCUGCAUCUAGUUCCACCCGUCCUUUCACAUGAAGUUAUGUGUUGCUAAUAGUUAAAAAGCAAGACUGCAAGAGUACCUAGAAUCCAAAUUUAAGACUAGUUUAUAUGACUAAAUUACGGUUCACAGCGAAGAAUUAUAAAUUAUACUAUACCGCAGUUCAAUGUACCUAUUUACGAGCUAAACUAAUAAUCUCUUGUUGCUUCAGCCAACAGGGUUUUGUUCACAUACUCUAUCGAUUCUUGUGAAUGAUUUCCCUGGAGUUCUCAAUGUUGUAACAGGUGUUUUCUCCCGAAGGGGCUACAAUAUUCAGGUUCUUCAAACUCAUUUAGUGUUCUGUGCUCCCUUUAAUUAGAUCAUUGCAGGGUCCAGUCCAUGUUAAACAGUAAACAUCAUUUUCAGAGUCUUGCUGUUGGCCCAGCUGAAAAGGAAGGAACUUCUCGCAUCACUACUGUUGUUCCUGGAACUGAUGAAUCCAUUGCCAAGCUAGUACAUCAACUGUACAAGCUCAUUGAUGUUUAUGAGGUCAACAUUAAUGAUGCACUUUGCAUGAUUGUGAUAGAAGUAAAGAAGUUGGCGUGAUUGUUAUAGACAAAGUCUUGCUCAAAUUCAUUUUUGGUUUCUCAGGUCCAUGAUUUUACUCAUUUACCAUUUGCUGCUAGAGAGUUGAUGAUCAUAAAGGUUGCUGCAAAUGCUGCAGCUCGAAGAGAUGUCCUUGAUAUUGCUCAAAUAUUUGAGGCCCAAAGAGUUGACAUAUCAGACCACACAAUUACACUGCAGGUAACUGUUACUGAAAGAACUUUUACUUGGACAAGCCCCAUGUCAUUGUAAGAUUCUUUAGUGUACUUGAUAAUUUAGUGGACUUGAUGUACAACAUAUUGAUGUACACAAUAGAACGUCAUAUUGUUCAUCUAGUAUGUCAUUUUUUAUGCAUCAUGUAGUAGUAGUCCUACCAAUGAAGGGACUAGUAUAUUGAUGCUGAUAGGUGAAAAGUUUUCAUAUAUUAACGUAUUUUUGGCAAUCAGCAGGGUGAUUUGAAAUUUAUAAAUUUUGAACUCGAUCAAUGAUUUUUUUCCUUCUUUAUUUUUUAUUAAUAAGCAUUCAUAUCUUCACCGAUUUCUUUAAUCAAACAUGUUUCAUUAGUAUCAUGCUUGGUGAACAAUAACCUUGUUGGCUUGUGCAGCUUACAGCAGAUAUUGACAAAAUGGUUAGAUUGCAAAAGAUGCUAGAGCAAUAUGGCAUCUGUGAGGUUUGUAUUGACUAUUGGCCUUCUGAUUCGCGGAUAUCUGCCAUUACCUUACCCUUUUCAUGCAUUAUCUUUGAAAAAAUUUGCACAAGUUUUUUUUGUUUGUGGAGUAGUGACUCCAAUGAUGUUUGUACUUUAGCAAUCGUUAGGAGAUGCUUGAAGUAUAUGCCACUAAUUCUCUCCUGUUUUCACAUGCCUCCUGCAGGUUGCACGAACUGGCCGGGUUGCUCUGCUCCGUGAGUCUGGAGUCGACUCCAAUUACCUCCGCGGGUUUUCCCUCCCUGUGUAGUUCACCAUUUUGUCAACAUACCACUCUCCACGAUUUCAGGUCGACGCAUCCAUUGUCUUCUAAGAAUGGUGCAGGCGUGCAGCGCUUCUCUUUAUCUUUGGGAGUGACUGUAGUAGAGAAGAAUUAUUCAAAGACCAUAGGAAGAAUAUCCUGUACGAUCGUGUUAGUUGGUUAAACAAAUGAUAGGUUGUCUGGACUGCUAUGUGCUUAUGCUGUAAGUUUCUUGCUUAUGGAGGUGUCACUUAUUUUGUAGGGGAAAAAAUGGAAAUGCCAUGCACCACCCAACGGGAUGUUAGCAGACUCAGAAAGUGACGAGGGAAGGAGAGAAGCCCGGUGGACUACGGGCCUGUUUGGCAACAAGGUGUUAAAGUUUAACACCCGUCACAUUGGAUUUUUGGAUGCUAAUUAGAGUAUUAAAUAUAGGCUAAUUACAAAACUAAUUGCACAUAUGGAGUGUAAUUCGUGAGACGAAUCUAUUAAGCCUAAUUAGUCUAUGAUUUGACAAUAUGGUGCUACAGUAACAAUUUGCUAAUGAUGGAUUACUUAGGCUUAAUAGAUUUGUCUCGAAUUAGCACAGGGUUCUGCAAUUAGUUUUAUAAUUAGCUUAUGUUUAGUUCUAAUUAGCAUCGGAACAUCCGAUGUGAUACUGUUAAAGUUUAACACCUCAUAUCAAACACCCCCUGCGUUACAAAAAAGCAAAACGACCGGAGGGGCUCGACGUCGAGGUGCGCGGGAGGCUAGAGUUCGAUGUUUUCCACCGAGCUGCCUGGCGAUGUCACGCGGAUAGGCGGCGUGUGUUGAAAAUCAUGACCCAGAGCAGACUCAGAAAUGAAGAAAUGUCACGCACUCUUAGAGGGUGUUUUCUUCCACUGACUUAUUUUUAGCACGUGUCACAUUGAAUGUUUAGAUACUAAUUAGGAGUAUUAAACGUAGAUUAUUUACAAACCAUUUNNNNNNNNNNNNNNNNNNNNNNNNNNNNNNNNNNNNNNNNNNNNNNNNNNNNNNNNNNNNNNNNNNNNNNNNNNNNNNNNNNNNNNNNNNNNNNNNNNNNCAUCAUUAGCAAUGUUUACUGUAGCAACACAUUGUCAAAUCAUGGACUAAUUAGGCUUAAUAGAUUCGUCUCGCCGUUUAGAUUCGUCUUAUGUAAUGGGUUUUAUAAAUAGUCUACGUUUAAUACUUCUAAUUAGUAUCUAAACAUUCGAUGUGACGGGUGCUAAAAAUAAGUCAGUGGAAGAAAAUGGGACCUUACCUUUGGACCGCGUUAAGGCGCGACCGAUCGCUCGACCCCUAUCAUCUUCCGCCACAUACGUCACAUACUUUGGUAAGCAUGCGCUGGGCGAUUUUGAUUUAAUUUUCAAUCACCCGUAACUCUCACAAACGUCCGUUCUCAAGUCCGAUCUGUUUACACCAUUGUGUUCCUCGUAACAAGAUCUACUAAAUAAGAUUCGUCUAUACCAUUGUGUUCCUACAAAAAAGAUCCAUACUUGAUAGGUUUUGAAGCGUUUUGACGUGACAACCAACUUACAUUGAUUGUACUGUACAAACUGUAUAGCAGUUUACAUAUGAAAACUUAUGCAUAGGUCAAGAGACAACUUUUAUAGAUAUAGUGUAGCAUAUUAUGUAGAGGUAAUGUAUCAAACUUAUCUAAAUACUAUAUAGCCACAUAUAUUAUGUGUCUACUAACCUAAGUAGCAAGUUUAUGUAGAGACAAAUUUAUCAACUUAUAUAAAAUAAUGUGUAACCACUUGUGUGCAGAAACUAUAACAACUUAU
rnacentral:lncRNA from 1 species